rnacentral:lncRNA from 1 species
AUGAGAAGAAUGAAAUUUGAUUCUUCGAUGCGUUUGAGACUCCUUCUGAAAACCUAUCUGGGUUGAACUUUUUUGCAUCAUCGCCCCAGUAUUCAUGAUCAUGAUGAACAAGCAUUAUUUGCAAUGAAAGUAAAACUCCAGGUGGUAUAACAAUUUCUCCUAGCUUAAUCUCCUUAACAUUAGCUCGAGUAAGCAGAGGUGCUGGUGAAUAUAACCUCAGUACCUCGUACAGAAUUUGGCUUACCUGCAACAGAAAACGGAAUCAUUUGGGAGGGGGAAAAAAAAAAAAUUAGUUAAGGUUCUAAAUUUCACUGGAUUUCCCGUCUUUUGGUUUGCAAAAUAAGCUAUCACUACUAGUUAAUUUUAAACUUUGAUUUUUUAAAAUAUUACAUACAUAUAUAACAAAUCCCUUCCCAUUCCCUGUAUAAGAAGGGAUUUGAACCCUCGACAUUUUUGUAGGUUUUAUCAUUUCCAGUAACCAAACCCCAUGGCCAUAACUACUGCACAAUCUAAGUACCUUGUAUAGAACUCAAUUUUCUUACCUGCACCAUACACUGGAAUUAUUUUUUCAAACAAGGAAAUUCUUUGUUCUUGGAGACUGAUAACAAAUUUAUUAAGGAUAAUUAAUUGUGAAAAUCACAGAAUAUAAUUCUGAUGUUGUGGGACGAUGACACAGUUCUGUGGCACCUCCCAAGAUUUUCCCUAAUUUAUGUGGCUUCCUCUAUCUUUGAUAGUAAAAUAUUGACAAACACUGGUCAGGUUAAGAAAUUCAAGUGGUAUCAAUUUAAGGAGAAGUAGUUUUCAAGUGCGGAUGAUUGGAUAUCCCAAAUUCCAAAUUUGAUCUAUCAUUAGAAUAAAAAUAAUUCUACCCCAGCCUAGAGUCCUAAUGGUAGUUCAAUUGAUUUUGACACCUGAAAAUUAACAAGAAAUUGAGUCUUCCCAAAAUUUUUGACAAAUAAGAAAAGCUAUAGAUAUUUAAGUAAGAGUAAGAUUACUUACUACUUUCAACUGGUUCAGCUCUUCAAAUUUUGGUUCUCUAUUUCCGAAAACUUGACAAACCUCUUCCCUUGCUCGUUCUUGCCAUUCAGGAUGUAUGCAUAACAAAACCAUUGUCCACACAAGCAAUGAUGCAGUAGUUUCCUGCCCAGCUAGAUAGAACAGCUUGCACUCUUCAAUCACCUCUUCAAUACUCAUUCCAGUUUCCUUCUCCUGAAUCUCUUUGUGAUUUGAUUCCAUCAAUAUACCCAAUAAGUCAUCAUUAUUGCUGGCUUUUCCAAAUUUCAGAGCUUCCUUUCUUUUGUUAACGAUACCUUUUACCAGUUCUCCCAUUUCAUUGUGGUUGCUGUUCAAUUUUCUGUUCAGUUUAUUAGGCACAAACCUACCAAUAAACCAUUCGCAUAAUUAAGUGCAAGGCACGUGGAAAUUAUUGAUACGCUAAAACAUUUGACAACACUUUUCUACACUAUAAUGAUAAGAAUUCUUUUUUUAGAAGACCAAGGAGUGCUAUAAACACACACAUGAUAUAAGAUCUUUAAAAAAUUAGAACAGCUCAGGUCACCAAGAGUACUACGGGGAAUAAUUUACGUUGAUUAAUAAUUAAAAUUACCUCCAUCCUGGAAUAUAAGCAAACAAUGAAGCUUGAAUUACAAGAUUAAUUUGUUCGCUUAGGACUUCAAAUAUUUUUCUUCCUUCUUCAAAGUUACUGCCGAAUGCUGUUCGAGAAAUCACAUCCGCUGUCAAAGUUUGAAUAUGAGGCCACACAUCUAACUCACAGGACUCAUCCUUUGAAAACGACAUCUCCCAUUUCCUUAGCAUGUCGUUACAGCUCUUAUGAAUUGUAGGUAACAUAUUCUUUAAAAAGAAAAAAAGAAGAAAAGAAAUUGUCAAACAUUGUCAUUGGUCAUGUAACAAUAUGAAUAUGCAUAUUGAAAAUGGUGUGUGUUUGUGUGUGAUUAAACGACGUAUAAAGGUGAAAACGAACCUUCAAUUUAUCAUGAUGGAAAGCUGGAGUGGCGAUUUUUCUAACUUUAAACCACUGUUCACCAUCAUAGCCUACCAUCCCAGUGAUCAGCAACUUCGCAAGUGGGCUUCUCAGCUUUUUAAAGAUAUCAUGCUUCAAAAAGAUUUCCCUUAUCAUCUUAGGGUCUGUGAUGUUUAUGUUUGGUCUUGGACCCAUCCAUAUGAAAGAAUUCUUGCCUGUAAUUUUAGCAAUAAGGGUUACGGAUUAGAAUGUUUCAACUUAUCAUGUUUUUUUGUUUUUAUUAUUCUUAGAAAAAAAAACGCAACAUUUAUUUUAUUUUAUGGCAUCUUCAUCUUGUUAUAAUUAAAAAAAAAAAAAAAAAGGACCCUUUAGUUUUUUCAAAUUUUUUUUUCCUUAAGUACGCAUUACCAUUCUUCCAAGAUGAAUAUUUUUAAAACGAGUUAAAAGACACGUGAUGCGAAGAAAAUGAUUUUUAAAAACAGGUGAACACCAUAUUUUAUUUAUUUAUUUAUUUUUAAAAAUAGAAGUGCGUUGAAACUUAAUUCAAUUUUUUAGCCCUUUCUCAAAUUCAAAUUAAAGGAGAAAAAAAAAUGCUACAGAACUGAUCCACCAGGUGGCAUCAACGCCUUGUUAGGCAAGUAAUAUCUUGAAAUUUUGCGGUCAAAACUCAUCCACAAACACAGAGAACAAAAAACUAAAAAAUGGGACAGCUUCUCGUAUUUUAUUAUUUUUCGUGGCUGCCUCGCAUAAGCACAGACGUCAUUCAUAUGUCUGCGUCAGUGUAUCAGUAUCGUUAUCUUAUUUUGUCUUAUUUUUUUAAUAUAUUUAAAUUUAUUAAUUUUUUUGUAAUUAAAAUUCUACAUUCACCUAGAUUAAUGCUAUUUAAAUACAGUCUCAAAUUUUAUUGUCAUGAAUAUGAAUGGAGAGACAGAAAAAUAUAUUUAUUCUAUCUAUAAAUUAAAAAAAUAAUAAUAAUAGUCAAAAGAAGAGAAAGAGGAGUCCUAAAAUUCAUUAUUAAUAUACAUUAAUUUUUAUAGUUGGUUAUAAAUAAUUUCGGUCAACUAAGACCAAUAUAAAAAUAUUUAAAAAUAUAUAUAUUUUUUAAUUAUUCUUAAAAAAAUUUAAAUUAUAUUUAAUAUAAUUUACAUCAACAUACUUUCAAAAAAAUAACUAUUUUAUCGUCAUUAUAAAAGAAAAAAAAAAAAAAAUUCAGAAACAGACACUUGGUUGAAAGUUUCCAAAAACCAUUACCUUUUUUUCUUUUUGGUCCCUACCAUUCUUCACUUUUUAAUCACUCUUACUUUCAUGACAUACUAUGAUUUUAAUGUUUGAAAUUUAUUGUUGAAUAGUAACAUGACUUUUGACAUAAAAAAAAAAAAAAAUCAUAUUAUACCGAUAGACUGAAAUUAAGAUAAUAACUGUAAAACGGUAAAAAAAAGCUUUUUUUUAAUUACGCUUUUAACAUUAAAGGUGUAAUAAAAAAAUAAAAAAAUAAAAUACUAAAGUGAUAAAAAUAAAAAAUAUAAAUAUUAACAACUUAUGUUCCGUUCUCUUUUUUCCUUUAAAAUUAAAAAAACUUGAAUCUUAUUUAAUUUUAUUGAUAUAUAAGCAAAAUAAAAUUAUUACCAAGUAAAGGUGAGUGAGAUAAAUUAGUGGGAAGGCUAACCAAAAUUGGUGAUGAUAUGAUGGUGGAAAGGCAGAAUUCGCCGGGCGAUAUCGUCGGAGAGGCUGAUGGGUCUGCUUUUAGCUUCUUUAGUGGUCUGCGCAAGCUCUUUCAUGUCCCCAUGAAAUACUUUGUAGGAGUUUCCGGAGAAUCCUUGCUCUCUGAGGAACUUUUCUAGCUUCUUUGGCUUUAGCCAUACCCAAUUCAGUAGCAUCCACCAGGCACAUGCUACGGCUAGAAUAGCUGUAGAGAAAGCAAUGGAGAAAGGCACAGUCCAAAGUGCAGUCUCCAUUUUCAUUGAAUAGAACAGAGAGGAAACAGACAGAGAGAGGGAGACCCCUUGCUAUAUAUCUUGAUUCUUGAUGAAGCCUCUUGGAAGGCGAUUUAUUAUAUUCCUCAUUUUAAAAUAUCGGGAUAUCCAAUUCUGUCGCGUUUGUGGGUCCCUCAUCAUGUCUCUUGCGUAGAAAUGAUUUAUUAGGAAGAAGAAGAAUUUGAAUCUAAAGAAUGUGAAAAUUCCAAAAUUCUUACCCGUCCCUCUCACUCGCUUAUUUUAUCCGUCUCUCUCUCUCUCUCUCUCUCUCUCUCACCCGAUCUGUCUCUCUCACUCACCCACUAGCAAGCUGUUUCUCUCAGGCUGUCACUCACCCACGAAACUUGUUGUCACGCCGCGCCCAUCGUUGACUAGCCAUCAUCGCUGUCACGCCAUGCCCAUCGCCGACCAGCCCAUCACCGAUCAUGUCGCCGACCAGCCUUACUUGAAGGUGUGCUUGACGAUUUUGGACCUUUUUCACCUACCUAGGUAAUUAAAAUUAGCAUGUUGAGGAAAGUUUUGAUUUAUUGUAUUUAUAUUUUAAAAUUAUUAGAAAUAAGUUAUUUGAAAUGUAGAUUUUGUUUGAAUUAUAUAUGAUUAAUAUAAUUUAUUUUUCAUGAUAUAAAAAUGAAGGAUUUGAAAAAAAAACUACAAAGUCGAAGAUUUUGAAGAAUUAGAUGAACAACAAUUUAGAUGGAAAUACUGAAAAAAACUGAUAAUGAUGUGGAUGUGAAACCAAAAAAGUAUGAUGUUGUUUGAUAAACACCAUUAUCUUCUUAUGAGCCAAAAAAGGAAGAAUUAGAUGACAACAAUUAAGGUGAGAUUAAACUACUUAAUUAUUCUACAAUUAAUUUAAUUUUAAUUUUAAUGUAUCUUUUUAUGGAUUUGCAGGAUUCAAAUGUACAAACACCAUUAUCUUCUAAGGUGGAUAUUGUAGUCCCAACGCAGGAGAGCAAUAAGGAUCCAGUAAGUUUUAUGUUCUUUGAUGUAAUAUUAUUUUUUUUUUUAAUUUUUAAUGGUCACUAAAUAAUGGUCAUUGUUUAGGAACCUGUGAUCGCAUACCAAUUACAAGGAUGUGAUAUUUAUCCAUCGUUUCCUUUUGAUUCUUACAUUGUAAGUUAUAAUCCAGUUUCUAUAUUUAUGCCUAAUUAAUUUUGCAUUUUCUGGAAUGUAAUAUGGUUCUUAUUUUGUACAAACUUGCAAUCCCAUCUAUGUUACCUUAUUCUUCAUCUUGGAUAUCGUAUAAAGGUUCUCAACAAGGGAGUUUUCAGCAAUUGCUAUUUCAACAAAAUGAUAAUGGCAGAGAAGUUUGGAGCAGACUUAACAGAUUGAUCAUUGACUUAUUCUUUUGUUGUAUAAUUUUAGUUGUGUUUUGUGUAUUAGUUGGUUGGAUGAUAUUACUCUAAUGCUCAAUGAUUGAACAUGGAAAUAUUUUGAAGGUUUUUUAUCCAUAUGUUCAAAGGUUGAGUGUGUCAAUAACCAUUACAAGAAUACGAGUAGAUCAUAUAGAAAUGCCAAAUUAAGCAAAAAAAAAAAGAUACAAUUAUUCACUUAAACAAAUGUUUCUACGUCAAUCUUCCUAGCUUCAAGCCUAACUGAACCAGGCAAUUGGUUGUUCAUUUUCCUCUCACAAUUGUAAGCAUUGUAUGCUGAUUCGGCAUCCAACAAUGAUCUGUAAGAUUGGAAUGAAUCAAAUACAAAUUAGCAGCAUCAAGAGAAAAAGAAAAGGAUGGAUUCUAUUUUUCAAGGAUAAAAAUCAAAUACAAGUCACAUUUGGUUUGAUUUUAGAGGAGGGUUAAUGAAGCAAUAUAUGCUUUAUAGAAAAUAAAGAACCUUAGAAUGAAGCUGCAAUUACUGGAUUAGCAGAAGAAAAUUAGGGAAUUCUAUGUGGUAAAUAACUUAACAAUGCAGCUAAGACCAAAAACAAUUGCCUCAACUAAAGAAUUCACAGAAACGUGUGAUAUAUCAAACUACCCAGAAUAUGUUUGAAGAACAACUUGAAAAUCUUAAUACACACCAUAUAUGCAAACUUUAAAUACCAAAAAAAAAAAAAAUGAGUUCCAACAGACGUAAACAUUAUAUAAGCAAAAACAUAAUUACAACCAAACCAUAAGCUUUAACAUUUCACAAAAUAUCACACUUCAAAUAACUUAUUUCUAGUAAUUUUAAAAUAUAAAUAAAAAAUAAAAACAAAUGUUUUCUAAUCAAAGUAUCACAUACAAGGUUUCGUAAAGGCCGUGUCAAAAGAAUUUCUUUAACUGAUUAAAUAUACUAAUUUUAGGUGACAAUAAUCUAAUAAUAUUAAACUAAAUUAACUUAAUUUCGCGAAAAAAAAUUCAAAAAACGCAUAGAAUUACGGAUCAAGUCUAAUUAACAAUCAAACGUAGUAACCCAGAUGCAUUUAUGCCAAAAAGAAUGUUCAUAAGACUACACAAAACCACCCAAAAAAAAUUAUAAAAUAAUAAAAGCAACAGCUGUGAUAGAUUUUGCCAGAACAAGAAACACAACAAAACAAAGAGAAUAAAUCAAUCAAGGGCAUAAAUAGAUUGAACAAAAAAGGGCAAGAUCAGAGAAGAAACUGACCCACGACACUGGAUCAUGCUAAGCCUAGCGUCAUGGUGGUGGUUUUGAUGAUGCGUUAGCUGAGAUCUGAGUAAAAUAUUGAUAGUGAGCUUGUGGGUGAGUGAGAGGGGAACGAGCUUCGUGGGUGAGAGUGAGAGCCGAGAGGGACAGAGCGGGUGAGAGAGAGGGGGUGAGUGAGGGGAGGGAUAAGAAUUUAGAUUUUUAAUUUGUUUUGAUUAGCUUUUAUUAGUUUUUAAUGGUAAAAUUUGUUUUUAAUUCUCAAAUCUAAAACUUCAAAACGGCACACAAGCAUGUCGUUUCUGGCUUCCCUCUGUAACGAGGGUAGCCGAAUAUCAUACCACAGGUACACCUAAUUAUUUAAUUCAAUUAUGGUAAGAGAUCUAAUAACUAAGUAGUUGGAUCUAAUAAUUAGGCGCAACUGUGAUAUGGUACUCCAGUUGUACCAUAGUUAAGUCCGACAUAUAAAUAAAAAAAAAAGUGAUAAUGUUAUUUUUGUGUUAUCAUAAAUAUUUAACAAACAAAUCUGGUGUUCUCAAUAAGACUCACCAAAUUUAUUACUGUUUGUGGACACAUCUCCUUGGUGCGGAUGAAGUGGAAGAAGUAGACAUCGAAAAGGACACGGAAGACGAAGAUGAAGAAUCUCUUCAGCCACCAAAAAAGAGGAAGAAGUGAACUAGAAAAAUGGAAAAUUUCUGUGAAAAACUUCCUGGCACCAGAUGCUGCUGCUUCUAUUAUGAUUCUUUGGUCCAAUGCACUAAAAGAAUUGACAAGUUAGCCAUUAAUUUUUAAUUAUAUUUCACAACUUUCAUUUCCAGUUAAUCGAUUAAGUCUAACGAUCCUCUUUCGAUUAAUAUUUAUUAUCUCAUCAUAUAACCUUACUAUAACAAUAUUUAAAAUACAAUAUUUAAAACACAAUUCUGGCGAGAUCUUCAAUAGGACUCAUCUAAUUUAAUAUUGUUUGUGGACACAUUAAAUUUGUUAAAAUGUCAAUUCCUAAUAAUCGAGUGCAACACUUUAGUGUGAAAGUAUUUCUUCUCCAAAUGAUGUGCUUCUCGAUGAAUAUCAAACUAUCUACUGUUAUUAGUUAUUACAUCGGCAAGUGGCACCAAGGAGCUGUGCUUUGAAAAUUUUUAAGCCUUUAUAUCAUUGCAUAGUCAAGGUUAAUUGAUGGAAAUGCAAUUUGUAAAAUUUGAUUUUUUAUCCUUCUACUUUCCGUCAAUUUAACUUGGCUGACUAAAAAAAGUUCAUUUGACAACCACUCAGUGGAGCUUAUGUUUGUCCAUGAUAAUCACUACAUUUAUUAGAUCUCCUUCCAUUUGCCGUGUGCACUUCACCAUCUAAACUUCCACUACUAUAAAAAAUUAAAAUAAUAACCCAUAAUUUAUGACGGUUUUUAUUAACAACCGUCAUUAAAAAUAUUUGAUGACCGUUAUUAUAUAAACGGUCAUAAUAUCUAGCAUUUACAAUGAUGGUUCUAUUCUAUAACCGUCAUUAAAUGUAACUUUAAAAUAUAAUUUACUUUUAAUGAAGGUUAUUUAAAAAAAGUCAUUAAAAAUUUGAAAUUUAUAAUGAUGGUUCAAUUAUAUAACCGUCAUUAAAUGUGAGCUAAAACAUAAUUUUAUUUUUAAUGACGGUUAUUUAUAAAAAUGGUCAUUAAAAGUUCAAGGUUUAUAAUGAUGGUUCUAUUAUAAAAACGGUCAUUAAAAGUUUAAGGUUUAUAAUGACGGUUCUAUUAUGUAACCGUCAUUAAAUGUGAAGCUAUUACUUUUAAUGACGGUUAUAUUUAAAAAUGGUCAUUAAAAGUUACUACUACAAAAAUAUAAAUACGACUCAUGUAUGAUGACCGUUCUUUUUAACAACAGUCACAAAAAAUAUUUAUGACCGUUAUUUCAACAACGGUCAUAAAUGUAUAUCCUACAAUGACCGUUUUGAAAAAAACCGUCAUUAUUGGAGAUAUUGAUUUUUUUAGUUAUUUAAUGACGGUUAAUAUUAAAACAGUCAUGCUAAAACAUGAUUUUCCCUUAUUUUCAAACACUUGUAAAGGCGCUCACUUCACAUCUUUGGUCUCUCGCGGCUCUUCUUUUUGCUUAAGCUCUCUUUAUUUUGCUUGAAAUGGAUCACUCUCCAUUGCCGUUUUGCUCACUUUACUUUCAUAGACCCAUUCAUUGGCUUAUUCCACUCUAUUAAAUUUUAUAUUCGCACUCCUAGACCUGCUCGUUAUCGCUCCUUCGCUCUUCUCCAUGGUCAUUGCAGGUAAACUCUUUGAUUUUGGUGGAAUUAUGUUUGAUUCUGAGGGUCAAGGCUAGGGUCUGGGCAUUGUGAUAGAUUUUGAGGGUUAGGGCUAAGGCUCGGUUUUUGGGUUAUGGACCCCUACAUUAAGUAGAAACCUUUGAUUACUUUUAUAUUUUAUGUCUCCUCUUCUUCUUUAUUUAUUUAAAAAAAAAAUUGGUGAUAUGAAAUAACUGUUAAGGAUAAAAUAUAUGAAUUGUGAAUUUUGGUUAAUGGUAGAAAAGGAAGCAACAUGAAUGAUGGACAAAGGAGAAAGAUAAUAGGUUUCUAGGAGCCCUGAAGCUAUACGUCGUCUUGGAAACAUAUAGAAAGUUAAUCUUUUGUGGUGUGUUUUUCUUAUUUCCUUUGUGAAGGCAUGUUCCUGAAGUUAUCCAUUUUUAUUCAAUUGGUUUUAAUUUAUGGUUUAAUUUUAGCAUUAUAAAGUUGAACUGAUUGGAUGUACAUAUUAGGAAUCAAAUGAAAUGAUGUUAUUCAGUAUUUUUUACUUUAUUGGAGUUUUGUCUCUUCUUCUUUUUUUUCUAUAUCUUACAUGGUGUAGUGCAGAACAUAUGGGGCCAAAGACCAAAAUAGUUUCUAUUUUUCAGUAGAUUACAAUAUUUAUUUAGGCUCUUUUAUUUUUAUUGGCAGUGAUUACAAAGUAUUUACAAAAUUCGAACAAAUAAGUCUAAAGUUUAAGUCGCCAUGUCAAUAGAGAAGGAUAAUGCAAUCCAGCCAUGCUAUUAUUUGUAUUAAGGUUGCUUGUGUUCGGUAAUUAGAAUUACCUUUAACUUGUAUUAGAACAUGACCAAGUAACCUUCACUUCCGUACCCUUGCACGGACCAAUUAGAUCUUUACACAGUGUUUAGAGCUGGCUUACCUUUGAAUAUAUUAAAUACAACAAUAUUGGCUGCAGUAGUUCAAGUUUGCUAUUGAAAAUAUUGUCUUGUAGAUUUGAAUAUAUAAAAUUGUGUUUGUUUUAAUACAAGUUAAUGUAAAUUAUUUUACUAGAGAGAGAAAAUAUUGUUUGUGAUUUUACAAGGCAACCUAAACUAAUUGAGAGAGCUAUUGAAUUCCUAGAAAGAAAAGAAAGAAAAAUAGAAUGGAAGGUUUCCCUUACUGAGAAGCUUAAUAGUUAUUUAAAAAGGUUAGUCCUUAAGCUUUUAAAUGAAAUAUCUCAUCAUUCACUUAUAGUUUAAUUCUAAGACAUAUUUUGCAGGGUUUGAUGUUAACUAGAUAAUUGUAAAGAUUUCAUUUUAUAUUUUGAUAAUCAAAUUAUUUAGAUUCUUUCGAAAAGAAUGCUUUGGAAUAUCAAUUUCUGAAUGUUGGAUUGUCAAAUUCUAUUUGUUAAAUUUUUAAUUCUUUGUUCAAAAUUUUCCCUUUGAAAUUAUGGUUCUUUAAUAUAUUCAUGCGUAAGCAUUUUGAUUAGACACAUGUUUUAGAUUUGAGUUUAAAUGACUUUAAAGGGCCAAGAUUUGAACCUUUAGAGAAUUGUCAACUAGUCUUUGUUGGGUAUCCAAUAUUAUAGUAAACCAAGUUAUCAUAUUUAUAAGAAAUAUUGCAUGUGGGAUUGUGGGAAUUUUCUGUAAGUGAUCAUAUUUAUGAGAAAUGUGAUUGUAAACAUAAAAUCGAGAUUGAACCAAUGAGUGAAAAUGGUGGAUACUUGGGAAUUUUUUAAGGCUCUGCCUUUUUUCUUUACUUUAAAAGCCAAUUUUUUUAGCUUUACCUUUGAUUUGAAUUUUUUGUUUCUGUUCUUUGCAGCCAACUCAUGAAAAUGGUGAUACUUGGGCUGUAAUAAGUAUUGAUUUAACAGGAACUACAUUGGUAAGCCUAGUUGCAAGACAAGAACUACUUUGCAAAGCAUGCUUUGUGUAUAAUUCUGAGCAAGGAUUUAGUUUUUGAAGGGCAAGCUUGCUGGCUCGGUGUAAAUGUUCCAAGUUCAAAUACCACCUUAUGUAAGCACAAAAUAUAGUCUCUAUUUGUUUUUUAGUUUCUAUAUUUGUUUGUAUAAUUAUAUGAUACUGGAUUUGUUAGGAAAUUGAUGGGUGAAGCAGGAUCACCACUAAAAUGAAAUUAGAAAAAAAAUAAAGAACAAGCACAAAAGAGAACACCAUAAAAUUACGUGGUUCGACUUUUAGCUUACGUCCACGGGUGAAUAUAGAAAAAAAAUAUUUCACUAGUGAUAUGAGGAUUACAAGUAUUGUAAUAUUUUGGCUCACUUCCCAGAACCCCUAUACACCCAAUCUCUCACUCACUAAUUACACAAGAGUAUUAAAACUCGUAAUUUUUCCUCUCUCACAAAAGAUUGAAAAACUGAAGAAUGGGAUGCCGAGAGGGGAAUUGAAGCCUUCUAUUUAGAGAAACUAGGUUUCUUAUAAGGCUUCGAAGGUUUCUUAUAAUGAAGUUCUCUAAAGUCUUGAAAGGGUUUUUUACGGAAUCUAGACUUGUAAUGUUUCUUGUAAGAUUUUGUAGAACACUUACCAUUACAAUCUUUGGAAGUAGAAGUCUUAAAGGGGUCAUAAUUGAAUUGUUUGCAGAAACUGCCUAAUUCUUGUUUAUUAGGCCAUGGUUUUAACAAAACCCCAGUCUUACUAUCAAAGCAUUUUAGAAGCUACUGAGUCAGUUAAAUUCAAACAUUUCUUUCUCAGUGAAACCCAUUCAGAGCCAGCCUAUUCCACGGCUACCAUAUUAAAAGUCUUGAGCCCAAACCAGUGGGGUGACCAACUCCACACACAAAAAAGAUUCCCUCUAAAUUUUCAAAUGUGUUUACCACAUUGUUUGACUUAUUCCUAUUGGGACUACCAACAAGCAUGGUAUAACACAUUUUUUUAUCCAAAAUCCGAAAAAAUCUCACUCUUGGUUAUUUUUCUUUAAUUCGAAAAUAACUGUUCAAAGCCUCCCAAAUUGGUUUCAACAUUGGUGGAAUUCUUUUGGCCCAAUACCUCAAAUCCUAACCCCAAAUGCCACUCAUUGUUUAAACCUAUUUAAAGCCCACUACAUUCCUUCUGAAUCCGAGAAAAGAUUUCCCCCCUUUCUCUGUUUCUGUACAAAUUUCUUCCUUCCAUGGGUAUGGAUGUGGAACCUCAGAUUUCAUACCCAAGAUACCCAGCUCAUCUUACAAAGAACAUUCAAAGUAAAAUGGUGGUCAAAGUUUGAUGAACAGUCUAAAUUGACGGACACUCUAAUCCGCAAUUGGCUAUGUUCUAAAGGAUUCUUACCCCCAACUAUUAAAAUCCAAAGCCCAAUCUCUACUGGCCAGUGCCAAAUCUGAAGAAGAAUACUUUAAAGUCAUGGAACAGCUCCUCACAUCAAGAUCAAAGUCCUCAGUUGCAGACUCCUCUGAUGAUAAUGAUGAUCAAGACGAAGAGCCAUUUAUAUCCCUUGGAGAUGAAAAUGAAGACGACUGUUUCGGAAUUUUCUCUCCCAUAAAGCAUUGUAAAUAAUUGUUAUGUAUAUUUAAAGUUUAAAAAAAAAAGUAUUUUUCAAUUUUAUAGGCUUCAUUUCCCCUCAUUUUUUCUAAUAAAAUAAUAUUAUUAAUAUUUUAUUAUUUUUCCUUUCAAAUCUUUCGGCUUUUUCUUUCUUCUUUUGUUCUUUUUUCUCUUUUUUCUUCUUCAAGCAGUUCGGUACCACAAAAAAUGGCGGGCCGUGUUGAAAAUGUUGAUGGUUUGGCACUGCCCAUCUAUAAGGGUGGUGCCAACCAUGACUUUGACAUUCUCCCACUUGGAGAUUUGAUUAAUGAUCAAUCAAUCUCCACACCAUCCUUUAUAUUUCGCCAUUGUUAUGCUGUCUACGUUUCUGCUAGGCCACAAGAGGAUCUACUACAUACAAACUUGUCAGUAUUGAUUUGUUUGGUCAUAACAUCUACUAGGUUCUCCUUUGUAUAGAUUUUCUGUAAAUCCAUAUUUCCGUCUUCUAUUAUUUCUCAAUCGAAGUGAUAUUGAACUCCUAUGUGCUUUGUCCUGGAAUGAAAGGUUGGAUUCAUUGCAAUGUGAAAGGCACUUUGACUGUCACAAAAUAUAGAUAUUUUCUCUUAUUUGUGCCCGAACUCCCCCAAUAACCUUUGUAUCCAAAUAGAUUCCUUGCAAGCUUGUGUAGCUACCAUGUAUUCUGCUUUUGUUGUAAAUAGAGCCACAACGGUCCGUAGUUUCGAAACCCAGCUUACAGCUCAUCUUGCAAGUGUAAACACAUAGCUAGUAUUGGAUUUCCUUUUAUCAAGGUCUCCUGCAAAAUCUGAAUCCACGUAGCCCCUGACAGUAAAUUUUGAUCCUCUAUAAUAUAAUGCAACAUCGGAGUUCCUCUGAUGUAUCUCAGAAUCCUCUUCACAAUUUUUCAAUGUUCUCCACUGUUGAGUGUUAGAAAAUACAUAUUUAUAAAGGAGAAAACCGUCAUUUUACAUUUCAAGUCUUAUUAACAACCCUUACUUUUAUGUAUUUAACCUUCUUGUGAUUUAAUUACAUGUGUUUUAUUUUAAUUAAGUAUUUUAUGUAUUUUAGGGGCAUUAUAGUCAUUUCACAAUAAAGGAGAGAUCAGAUGGCAAAACGGACAUCACUUUUGAACUCAGGACGGUCGAAAACCUUAGGAGGGGUAUAAAAGGAAAAAUGGCACUAUUCACAUGUACGGUACUAUUCACGUAUACGGUACUGUAUAUGUUACUGUUCACGGCACUGUUCACAUAGACGGAUCGAUGACGUGGCAUUGACCGAUGAUGUGGCAUUGACUGAUGAGGUGUCACGAUCCUGUUGGACUAAAAUUCUUAUGUACUGUUGAUGGUAACGUGGCAGCAUAUCAGUGGACGAAAAAUCUCGCGUACGGUGCAUGCAUCACACAGGAUUAUUUUCAACCAAACCGCGUUACUGUUCAUCCGGGUUAAACCGUGUUACUGUUCAUCCGCGUGGUCAAACCGUGGACUGUUGACUGAUUACGUGGCGCAAUCCUGAGCGUCCAAACUGUUUUUAAUCCGAUGGCCAUGAUUUACUCCAUGUAUCUAUAAAAAGGGGGCCUCCCCCCCUAAUUUGAUAUCUCUGAAUCCAUUUUUGGGAUCCAUUUUCUGUAAUUCCUUCUCCAUCUUGUAUUUUCUUUGUAUUUUAAUAAAUUCCCAUUUUGCCCCUAGUUCAAUUAUGAGUAUCUAAUUUCUUUUCAAGCUUGGGUUGAAGGUGAAGUCUCAACAUGUGUCAUGGGCUUUAUUUGGUGAAUUUAUUUUCUUUUCCCUCUAGUUUUUGUGGAUGAUUUGACUUAUCGUCGAUAAAUAAUACUGAUCUUGUCUAGAUACCGUCUUGGUUACACCGGCUCUCUAGUAUAAGGUUAUUAUUAUUUGGCACGAUAAGCCCUUAACACCAUAUUGAUUAGAGCGUGAUUCAUGAGGUGUGGAUUCCCCCUCAUGAUUUAAUUGGCAUUAAUACGGAUUAUUUAGCCCAUGAUGCAUGUUGAUACGGAUCCAGAUACCCAAGUACGUCAUUUCAAUACAUUUCUCUUCAAUUUAUUCUCGCCAUUGCAAUUCCAAUUUUAGCAUAUUUUAAAUCACUUCCACCACAAUUCCAACCACCCAUUUACAAAAUUAAUUCUAUAUAUAAUUAAAAUCCACCUCCUCGUGGGAUCGACACUCGUCACCAUUAGUCUAUACUACAAUAGAUUCGUGCGCUUGCGAGUACAUUAAAAUUUGCACAACAAGUUUUUGGCGCCGUUGCCGGGGAGGUAAGUAAUUUUAAUUCAUAGAAUUAAUUUUUGUGAAUAAUUUAUUUUAAAUUGUUUUCUUAUAUUUUUUAUUAAAAAAAAAAGUGAAUCUACAUUUAAAGGUUAGUAUUUCUUUUUUUUUUUAAAUUAUGUAAUUUAAUUUUCAAUUUAUUUUUUCUUUGUAAUUUUUGUUUAUUUUAUUAAUUUAAUUUUUAGUUAAUUUCACGUAUUUGUUUUUGUGUAUUUUUAUAGAAAGGUUGUAAUAGCGCAAUAAGGUUAGUAUCGUAAUUUCUCCCUCUUCUUUAUUUUUAUUUGUUUUGUUCCCAUCUUUAUUUUUAUUUUAUUUGUUUUGCAUGCAUGGUCGUAGGUCAUUAUUACCUAAUCUUGAACCUAUAGACCUUGAAUUAGAAAAAACACUUCGCACACAAAAGCACAUUAAAAAUAAAUUUGAAAUGGAUUUACAAGCACCACAGGAGAGGCCAUUUAAGGAUUAUUUUAGUCCCUUAGCUAAUUUGAGCACAUCAUGUAUUAGAUACCCAAAUGUAGCUGCUAGGAGUUUUGAAUUAAAACCUAGUGUGCUAAAUUGUCUCCCCACAUUCUAUGGCCUAGAAAAUGAGGACCCAUAUAAUCAUCUGAAUGAUUUUCAUGCCAUUUGUCAAACUUUUAAAUAUGAAAAUUUUUCAGACGAUGAUGUUAAACUUAGAUUAUUCCCAUUUUCUUUAAAGGAUAGAGCUCGUUCAUGGUUAAAUACUUUGCCUGCUAAUAGCAUUGCAUCAUGGGAACAAAUGGUAACGAAAUUUUUGAAUAAAUAUUUCCCAGUGCAUAAAACCAAUUCUAUUCGCAGGGAAAUUUCAGAGUUUACACAAAGAGAGGACGAGCAGUUUUUCGAAACUUGGGAGCGAUUCAAUGGGCUACUCUUGAAGUGUCCACAUCAUGGGUACGAGAAAUGGCACCAAUGCCAAUACUUUUUGGAGGGAUUAUUGUCAAAUGUGCAAGAAUGGCUAAUGGCAACAAGUGGAGGAGAGCUAAUGUCAAAAAGUGCAACAGAGAUUUGGGAAUUCUUCCAGCGACAAGCGGACAGUUCCCAACAACGGAGUCGAUCACUUAGGAAUACUAGAAGGAUUAAAGGAGUGAAUGAGGUUCACAUUGGCGAGUCAACUUCGGGAAUCAAAGAAGUCAAGGAGAUGGUUGAAGGUCUUGCUCGACAAAUAGCAUCGUUAUCGACUGCUAAAUCAACAGAAUCACAUGACCCUGACUCAUAUCCAGAUCAAGCCAAUGCCAUAGGUGUAAUGAGAAAGCCAUCUAAUUACAACCCAUACUCCAACACAUAUAAUCCUGGAUGGAGAGACCACCCCAAUUUUUCAUGGUCUCAAGGAUUUCAACAGAAUGGACCAGCAGCUCCAGCUCCACCAAUGCAACCAAUUCCUCAAAAUCCUCAAGCCUCUCAGCCCCCAUUUAGACCAUUCAAUCAAAACCAGAACUACUCUCAACCCAGACCAUGGGAGGAUGCAUUCCAGAAUUUCAAGAAUGUUACUCACUCCACGAUUGAGCAACAGAACCGCACCAUUGAUGGACUACGAAAUGAAUUGAGAGCGGGCUUUAACUCACAAGCCCAAUCAGUUUCAAGCCUCGAGAAGAUGGUGGGACAACUUGCUUCUUCAGUUCAGACCUUGGCAAUGACUGUUGAGAAAGGAAAAUUUCCAAGUCAACCAGUGCCUAAUCCUAAAGGAGUACAUGAAGCAAGUACCAGUUCACCACAACAGCAUGGAGAGGUCAAAGCAAUCAUGACCUUGCGAAAAGGAAAAGAAGUCGACAAUAAAGUGGAGAUGCCGGUGACAAAAGAAAAUCAAAUUGUACCUGUAAAUGCUAAGGACUCACCACUGGAGGAAAAAGAAGAAACCAACCCACGAGAAUACGUUCUCAAAGCUCCAUUUCCUCAGAGGUUAGUGAAAGGAAAGAAGGGAAAAUCCACAGGUGAGAUUCUCGAAAUCUUCAAACAGGUAAGUGUUAACCUCCCUUUACUUGAUGCUAUAAAGCAAGUUCCAUCUUAUGCCAAGUUUCUUAAAGACCUUUGUACUAAAAAGAGAAAUAUGCAUGUUCAAAAGAAGGCAUUUUUAACAGAAAACGUUAGUUCUAUACUCCAACAUAAAAUUCCUUUAAAAUGCAAAGACCCAGGCUCCCCCACUAUCUCAUGUAGUAUAGGGAACCACACAAUUGAGAAUGCUUUGUUGGAUUUAGGAGCUAGUGUAAAUUUGUUGCCUUACUCUGUAUUCGUGAAACUUGGACUGGGAGAAUUACACCCAACUCCAGUGGUGUUACAACUUGCAGAUCGGUCCACAAAAAUACCUCGUGGUAUUGUGGAGGACGUGCUUAUCCAGGUAGACAAGUUUUUUUUUCCUGUUGAUUUCAUUGUAAUUGACACUCAACCAAUACAGGACUCAAGGAAGCACAUCCCCAUUAUUCUCGGCCGACCUUUCUUGGCAACUGCAGAUGCUCAUAUUCAAUGUAGGACCGGAAAUAUGCAAUUGUCCUUCGGCAACAUGACUAUGGAGCUAAACAUCUUCAACAUUGCCAAACAACCUCACAGUGCAAAUGAUAGAAUUGUUGAUGUGGAUUUAAUAGAAACAAUAGUUGAUAAUACUUUUCUUUCAAACCUUAGUGAUGAUCCUUUACAAACAUGUUUAACUCACUUUGGUUUGGAUUUUGAUAUUGACAGAUCGGUCGAAGAGGUCAACGCCCUACUUGACUCAGCACCAUCCAUGGACACUAAUAAAUGGAAGUCAAGAGUUGAACAACUAGCACCAUCAGAGAAGAAACUCAUUCCAUCAUCAGAAUCACCACCGAAACUCGAGCUCAAACCAUUACCCAACACUCUAGAAUAUGCAUUUUUGGGAGAAGAAAGUACUCUGCCGGUAAUCAUCUCAUCAUCCCUAAAUGACAAACAAAAAGGUAAGUUGUUGGAUGUUUUAAAAGAGCACAAAGGGGCAUUAGGAUGGACCAUAGCAGACAUAAAAGGUAUAAACCCAGUAGACUGCAUGCAUUACAUUCACCUUGAUGAAAAUGCUAAAACUACUAGGGAGAUGCAACGUCGGUUAAAUCCUAACAUGAAAGAAGUUGUUAGAACUGAAGUCCUUAAGCUAUUAGAUGCAGGUAUCAUUUACCCAAUUUCUGAUAGUUCAUGGGUCAGUCCUGUACAAGUCGUCCCCAAAAAGUCAGGAGUCACAGUAGUUACCAAUGCUGAUAAUGAAUUGAUACCAACUAGAGUAACUACAGGAUGGCGUGUAUGCAUUGAUUAUAGAAAAUUGAAUUCUGUCACACGUAAAGACCAUUUUCCUUUACCAUUUAUUGAUCAAAUGCUUGAUAGAUUAGCAGGCCACGAAUUUUAUUGCUUUCUCGAUGGCUACUCAGGAUAUAAUCAGAUUCCCAUAGCACCAAAAGAUCAGGAGAAAACUACUUUCACUUGCCCUUUUGGCACUUUUGCAUAUAGGAGAAUGCCAUUUGGAUUAUGUAAUGCACCUGCUACAUUCCAACGAUGUAUGUUGAGCAUUUUUUCUGAUAUGGUUGAACGAUUCCUUGAAGUCUUUAUGGAUGAUUUUUCUGUCUUUGGUGACUCGUUUGAUCAAUGUUUACAUCAUCUAACGCUAGUUCUGCAGAGAUGUACCGAGAAGAACUUAGUCUUGAAUUGGGAGAAGUGUCAUUUUAUGGUAAAACAAGGUAUUGUUCUCGGUCACAUCAUUUCGAGCAAAGGUAUUGAGGUUGACAAAGCCAAGGUGGAUCUCAUUUCUAAUAUUCCUCCACCUAAAACAGUCAGAGAAGUAAGAUAUUUCCUUGGGCAUGCUGGUUUCUAUAGACGUUUCAUUAAAGAUUUUAGCAAAGUUUCUAGACCCUUAUGCAAUUUACUUACUAAGGAUGUACCUUUUAUCUUUAAUGAUUCAUGUCUUAUGGCUUUUGAAAAAUUAAAGCAAUUGUUGACAUCAUCACCCAUCAUUCAGGCCCCAAACUGGAGCUUACCAUUUGAGCUCAUGUGUGAUGCAUCUGAUUAUGCAGUAGGAGCAGUAUUAGGACAAAGAGUUGAUCGAAUUCCCCACAUUAUUUACUAUGCUAGUAUGACAUUGAAUGAUGCACAGUUGAAUUAUUCAACUACUGAAAAAGAAAUGCUAGCAGUAGUGUUUGCAUUAGAGAAAUUUCGAUCUUAUCUCAUUGGUUGUAAAAUAAUUAUAUUCACAGAUCAUGCUGCUCUUAAAUAUCUUCUCACAAAGAAAGAUGCAAAAGCUAGACUAAUUCGUUGGGUGUUACUUUUGCAGGAAUUCGACUUGGAAUUCAAGGAUAAGAAAGGCACAGAAAAUGUUGUGGCGGACCACCUCUCUCGUCUCCAUUUUGACACAAUUACAGAGCCAUUAAUAUUAAAUGAGUCAUUUCCAGAUGAACAAUUAAUGAGUGUGGAAGUAUUACCUUGGUAUGCUGAUAUAGUUAAUUAUCUUGUUACAGGUAAAUUUCCAGAGCAUUGGAACAAGCAAGACAAGGCUAAAUUCUUUGCGGAAAUAAAGAAUUUCUUUUGGGAUGACCCGUAUUUGUUCAAGUAUUGUGCAGACCAAAUUGUUAGACGAUGUGUCCCAGAAAGUGAAAUUCAAAAUAUCCUUUCAUUCUGCCAUGAACAAGCUUGUGGAGGCCAUUUUAGCGCUAAGAAAACAGCGACUAAAGUUUUACAAUGUGGUUUCUAUUGGCCAACUAUAUUUCGAGAUGCUUACACUUUCUGUUCUUCAUGUGAUAGAUGUCAACGAAUGAGGAGCAUUACACGAAGGAACAUGAUGCCACUAAAUCCAAUUUUAGUGGUUGAGAUUUUUGACGUAUGGGGUAUCGACUUCAUGGGACCCUUUCCCUUUUCUUUUGGCCAUCAAUACAUAUUGGUUGGUGUUGACUACGUCUCGAAAUGGGUAGAAGCAAUUCCAUGUAGGACCAAUGAUCACAAAGUGGUGAUAGGAUUUUUGAAAAGCAACAUUGUUUCACGCUUUGGAUUCCCUCGAGCGAUAAUCAGUGAUGGUGGUGCCCACUUUUGUAACAAAGCAUUCAAGGCUCUUUUGACAAAGUAUUCAAUCACACACAAAGUGGCGACCCCGUAUCAUCCGCAAACCAGUGGCCAAGUUGAGAUCUCCAAUCGAGAAAUAAAGCACAUAUUAGAAAAAACAGUGAGGCCAGACAGAAAAGAUUGGUCAUUAAGACUUGAUGAUGCAUUAUGGGCAUAUAGAACGGCUGUCAAGACCCCGAUUGGGAUGUCACCCUACAGGCUAGUGUAUGGAAAAGCUUGCCACCUACCUGUGGAACUCGAGCAUCGUGCAUAUUGGGCCAUCAAGAAAUUCAACUUUGACAUGCAGCAAGCCAGCUCAGAAAGAAGAUUACAACUGGCAGAACUUGAAGAAACUCGCAAUGAUGCAUACGAAAAUGCCAAGAUUUACAAGCAACGAAUGAAAGUCUUUCACGACAAGCAAAUUAUGAGAAAAUCUUUCACUCCAGGUCAGAAAGUGCUUUUAUUCAAUUCUCGCUUGCAUCUAUUCCCAGGUAAGUUACGCUCUCGAUGGUCUGGUCCCUUUAUUGUUCAUACUAUUUUUCCACAUGGGGCAAUUGAAAUUAAAGACCCAAAGAACGGUGUCACGUUUAAAGUUAAUGGUCAAAGAUUAAAGCCAUAUCUAGAAUACCAACCACAUGGAGAAGACACCGAAAUAAAUUUGAGUGACCCACCAGAUUUGAAUUGAUUUUUAUUCUUCUUUUCGUUGAUUUGAUUUUUCUUUCUUUCUUUUUAUUAUUCUUUUGCUAAUUGAAAUUAUUUUUGCAUAAGUGUGUUUGUUUAACUAUUAAGUUUUCUCUUAUCAUUUUUAAUCAUGAGUACCUUACUUAGACCGUUCCUCCUGAACAUUCUUAAACCACUUCAACGUGUCAAAACUCAUCUCAAAAGGCAGAUUCAAUUUUGUAAAACACAUCGCAUUUGGGCUCUACAACCACCAGAGUUAGUAGCCUAUGUUGAGGGUUUAGAACGCCAACUCAGAGACAUUGAGAGAAGUGUUUACGACAUCCAGUUGGAGCUUGAGGUAAAUUCAAUAAGAGGACGAUUUUAAUUUUCUUUGUGUGUUUUGAUUUGUUUUUCUGUUUGUGUGCUUUAGUUUCUUACCCCGGUGAAGUGGCGGAUAACGGUACUCCAUGACAAUCAAGUCGGUUACUUCAGUUUCCCAUAAUAACUGACAUUCUGAGGCGAAAGUAUGGACAGAAACGAGAUUCUAGCGAAGCUUCACAAGCGAUUCCCUUCACUUCCUCAGAAUGCCCUCCUUACGAUCUAUAAAGCUCGGUCCGAACGCAUGCGAUUACUCAUGAAGAAUAACAUACCUGCUGACAUCCGUUGGUUAAUCGAGGCUAAAGUACGAUUGGCAGGUGAGUUACCUCCUAAAUUUAUUGCAUACAUGCCUGGUUGUGGUAAAGGAAAUUACGCAAGAAAACGACGAGCUCGAAGAAUUUCUGUUGCUUGUCAUAAGUGUGCCAGAAUGAGUUGCGAUAAAAACCCAUGUUCUUUAGGAAUGGUGUCUGAUAACAGGGAAGAUAAGAUUCAAUUCAUUAGGGAUGGCUUGAAUAAGGAGUCAUUGGAUGAUAUCCUUUUGUCUCUUGAAACGCAUCCCAGUGGAUAUGUGCAAGGAGCGAUUCUCCAGUUAUGGCCAUUAUUCCAAAAAGAGCAUGCACGAUAUAGUCUCGGGAAUCUGACUAUAAACGACCCUGUUUGCCAGUUUAUAAGAAAACUGGAUGGGAAGCCCAUCCUCGACCCAUAGAGGACGUUCAAGCCGUUUCUGGACGUAAAACCAGAGGAAGAUGUGAGCCACAGUCGCAACUACGUGUAAAUAUCCUUUUACUUUCUGUUAUUUUAUUUCACUAUUGUUUUAUCGUUUGCAUUAUUGCCUUUAAUAAUUUUAUUAUUGUUUGCUUUUUCCUUUUUACUGUUUCCUUUUUGACUCGCGAGCCACGUGCUUUACGCGUUAUUUGACACUGACAUGUUACCUCAUUCACAGCUGUGAUCCACUGUCACCAAGAUUCUUAAAUGUGAUUUAUCUUUUGUCAAGCACUCACAAAUUGUUUUUGAGAAGUAUCACAAUGGCAACUACUCCCAAUAGACAAUUCAAGAACAUUUGUGUGCUUUCUGGAUUUACCUAUGGCAAACAUAAAGAGUUCGUGGAGGCCGCCAUAGAUCUUGGUCGAAGCAUAGCAGCGAGAAAAUUACAUUUGGUGUAUGGAGGAGGUAACCGAGGGUUAUCAAAAAUGGUCUCAGAAGCAGCUUUUAUCAGAGGAAGUCAAGUGUUAGGCAUCAUCCCAAGAGUCCUAAAACCAUUGGGCAGUUCGUCUGACUCAUCAACUGGAGAAGAGUUAGUCGUCUCAGGUAUGCAAAAAGAAUAACUGAAAUGCUUAAUCAUGUUGAUGCUUUUAUUUUCCUUCCAGGAGAUCUUGCAACACUAGAGGCACUUAUGACACUAGCAUCUUGGGCCCAUCUGCACAUCCACCAGAAACCCAUCGGUUUGUUAAAUGUCAAUAACUUUUAUGAUGGCUUUAUCGCAUUUCUUAACCAUGCAAUAAAAAACUAUUUCAUUCCUUCUAAUGUGAAAAAACUCUUUAUUUGUGCUCACACUGCUAAUGAGCUACUUGAUAUGUUACAAGCUUAUAAACCGGAGCCAGACCCCUGGACCUUUGUGUUGGAGCGACCAAAUAAUGAUGGUAACAGUAGCCGCAGUAAGAAGUACAAAUUAGAUUUAACUCUCCGCCUGUAAAUAUUUUCUUCUGUGUUGCACCACCCAGGUGAUGUCUUCUAAACUCUACUUCUUUCCUUUAAAACAUUGAGGACAAUGUUUCGUUCUGGUUGGGGGGAGGGAAUAGUCGACAAUUGUGGAAUCUUGGUUAAGUUUUUACUGAUUUUUUGUUGUAGAAACUAACUGUUGCUAACGUUUUGUGUUGAAGAUGGCUGAAUAUGGAGUGUAGUUACUCUAGAAACGCAUCUUCAUCGUUUAAAAAAAAAAAAAAAAAAAAUUGUUUUCUUCCUUUUUCUCCUUUAUAAAUAUGUAGUUUCAAAUUUUUGAGUCGAAAAUGGCUGAAUAUGGAGUGUAGUGCCUCUAGAAACGCAUCUUCUUAGUUUAAAAAAAAAAAAAAAAAUUCUUUUUCUAAUUAAUUUUUCUACAUCAUUUUCACAUUUCUGCAUGCAUAUUUUCCUUUCAUGUUUAGAAUAGGUUGGGGGGUAGAAAUAAAAAUUGUGUUAUUUGUUUUAACAUUGGAUGACAUGAUUAAUAUCAAAUUUUAGUAUUUGUAUUAUCUUUGGUCUUAAGUGAUGUUACGCUAUGUUUGCUACUUUACAUGUUGAUGUCGAAGACAAAUAUGAGUUGCUUGAAGGAAUGAACAUGUCAUAAAUAAGUGCCAAGUGAGUUGUUGAGCCUAUCAUUUUCUUGGAGAGUAACCCUUUUGCCCAUUCUCUAUACAGCUUAGCAGUUUAUUAUUUUAUACACGAUCUUUAGAUUUCUUUUAAGUUAACCCUUUAAAAAAAAAUGGUAAAAUUAAAAAAAAAGAAAAAAGAAAAAAAUGUGUGUUGCUACAUUGGGAGGCCCAUCUAACUAGUAGAUAUGGAUAAUUAUUUAGAGCCCUAAAAGACGAUGGAAAGGCCAUCUUUGAUCCGUUUGAGCCUUUCUAGCCAUCCCUUUUAUUAAAUAUCCAUAGUUACCCCUUUUGAGCCUUUAAAAAAAAAAAAAAAAAAAAAAAGAACAAAAACCUUUUCUUUGUCAACUUAUCAUCUUGACCCACUCCGAUUUGGAGUAUUACCCAAUGUCUUUUAAGUUCCAUCACCUAUUUAUGUUUGAGAAAAUGUAAAAAAUUAUGUUGUUCAGUGAAGUUAUGCCAAAUAAAAGCAAAAAGAAAAAAAAACAAAAACAAAAGUUGUUGUUUCAAAAGAAUAAAAAUAACAAUAAUAAGUGAAAUCCACCUUGCAAGUUCCAAAAAAAAAAAAAAAAAAAAUUCUGCAUUUUUCUCAAACAUACAUUUUGUUUUCCUUAUUUCCUUUCUUUGUUAGCCAUAUCCCUAGCCUACGUUACGUCCUAAUAAAAGUCCUUCUUGAUUUUAGGGAAUUAUAGUUUGAAGUAGAAGCUAGUUAUAUGGGCUAAAAAGAUGUAGUGAUGCAUAAUAAAAAAAAAAAAAGAUAAAUAAAGUGGGUUGACUAACAUUUUAUUUGACUUGAGAUCGUAUUAUUUCUAAGCUGAGGGCAUAUUUAUUUCAUCUUGGUGAGAGCAUGUGAUAUCAUUUCUUUAUUAUUUUCUCUCUCAAUUAUCAUUCAUUGGAGUGACUAUGUUUAUUGGGUUGUAAUUUCUUUGUGAGAGUGUCACUACUUCCAGUGAGAUUUUGGGGUUUGACAUGUCAUUCUUGAAAGUAGCUAUAACAAAGUCUACUGGGCUAAUUCAUGUGGAUGGUUGAUGUGGGUGUGAUGUUGCUUUAGACUGGAGAUAAUGCUUAUACUUUUAUUUGAUUGCUAUCAUUAAUCUGAUUGAAUAAACACGAGUGUUUCUAAAAAAAAAAAAAAAAAAAAAUCAUUUUGAAUUUGAAUUUUUUUUUCGCUUUAUUUGCUAGGGACUAGCAAUAAGCUGGUUGGGGGGUGUGUUGAGUGUUAGAAAAUACAUAUUUAUAAAGGAGAAAACCGUCAUUUUACAUUUCAAGUCUUAUUAACAACCCUUACUUUUAUGUAUUUAACCUUCUUGUGAUUUAAUUACAUGUGUUUUAUUUUAAUUAAGUAUUUUAUGUAUUUUAGGGGCAUUAUAGUCAUUUCACAAUAAAGGAGAGAUUAGAUGGCAAAACGGACAUCACUUUUGAACUCAGGACGGUCGAAAACCUUAGGAGGGGCAUAAAAGGAAAAAUGGCACUAUUCACAUGUACGGUACUAUUCACGUAUACGGUACUGUAUAUGUUACUGUUCACGGCACUGUUCACAUAGACGGAUCGAUGACGUGGCAUUGACCGAUGAUGUGGCAUUGACUGAUGAGGUGUCACGAUCCUGUUGGACUAAAAUUCUUAUGUACUGUUGAUGGUGACGUGGCAGCAUAUCAGUGGACGAAAAAUCUCGCGUACGGUGCAUGCAUCACACAAGAUUAUUUUCAACCAAACCGCGUUACUGUUCAUCCGCGUCAAACCGUGUUACUGUUCAUCCGCGUGGUCAAACCGUGGACUGUUGACUGAUUACGUGGCGCAAUCCUGAGCGUCCAAACUGUUUUUAAUCCGAUGGCCAUGAUUUACUCCAUGUAUCUAUAAAAAGGGGGCCUCCCCCCCUAAUUUGAUAUCUCUGAAUCCAUUUUUGGGAUCCAUUUUCUGUAAUUCCUUCUCCAUCUUGUAUUUUCUUUGUAUUUUAAUAAAUUCCCAUUUUGCCCCUAGUUCAAUUAUGAGUAGCUAAUUUCUUUUCAAGCUUGGGUUGAAGGUGAAGUCUCAACAUGUGUCAUGGGCUUUAUUUGGUGAAUUUAUUUUCUUUUCCCCUCUAGUUUUUGUGGAUGAUUUGACUUAUCGUCGACAAAUAAUACUGAUCUUGUCUAGAUACCGCCUUGGUUACACCGGCUCUCUAGUAUAAGGUUAUUAUUAUUUGGCACGAUAAGCCCUUAGCACCAUAUUGAUUAGAGCGUGGUUCAUGAGGUGUGGAUUCCCCCCUCAUGAUUUAAUUGGCAUUAAUACGGAUUAUUUAGCCCAUGAUGCAUGUUGAUACGGAUCCAGAUACCCAAGUACGUCAUUUCAAUACAUUUCUCUUCAAUUUAUUCUCGCCAUUGCAAUUCCAAUUUUAGCAUAUUUUAAAUCACUUCCACCACAAUUCCAACCACCCAUUUACAAAAUUAAUUCUAUAUAUAAUUAAAAUCCACCUCCUCGUGGGAUCGACACUCGUCACCAUUAGUCUAUACUACAAUAGAUUCGUGCGCUUGCGAGUACAUUAAAAUUUGCACAACAUCCACCAGGAUUCGGCAUGUAUCGACUGACCGCUCCCACUGCUUGUGCAAUGUCUGGUCUUGUACAAAUCAUAGCAAACAUUAAACUUCCCCUGCUAAUGCAUACGGUACUCGAGACAUCUCUUUCCUCUCUGCUUGAUUGCCAGGACACAUACUUGACGAUAACCUGAAAUUAACAGGAAGUGGGGUAGAAAUUGACUUACAAUCUUGUAUAUUGAAGCGCCACAAUAUUUUCUUCAAGUAGUUCUUCUGAGAAAGCCAAGUCCUCCUAUUAUUUCUGUCUCGGUGAAUUUGCAUCCCUAGAAUCUUAUUUGCUGAUCUUAAGUCUUUCAUUUCAAGCUCUCUAGCCAAUUAUGCCUUUAGUUCUUGGACUCGAUCUUUGUUGGGGCCUGCUACCAACAUGUCAUCCACAUACAACAGUAAAAGGAUAAAAUCAUUAUCUUUAAACCUCUUGUAAUAUGCAUAAUGGUCUAUCUAAUGGUAUAUCUAAUGGUCUGAACUGAGUUUAAUGUAUCCAAGGCUCAUGAUGAAGGAAUCAAAUCUCUUAUACCAACACUUCAACGCCUUUUUGAGAUCGUAUAGAGAUUUGUUCAAUCUGCAAACCAAGUUCUCCUUUCCUAUUUCAGCAAAACCUUCUGGUUGGAGCAUAUAAAUUUCUUCUUCAAGUUCUCCAUGAAGAAAUGUAGUUUUUACAUCAACUGCUCAAAUGUAAUAUAGGGAACAACACAAUUGAGAAUGCUUUGUUGGAUUCAGGAGCUAGUGUAAAUUUGUUACCCUACUCAGUAUUUGUGAAACUUGGACUGAGAGAAUUACACCCAAUUUCAAUGGUGUUACAGCUUGCAAAUUGGUCCACAAAAAUACCUCGUGGUAUUGCUAAGGACGUGCUUAUCUAGGUAGACAAAUUUUAUUUUCCUGCUGAUUUAAUUGUAAUUGACACUCAACCAAUCCAGGAUUCAAGGAAGCACAUCCCCAUUAUCCUAGGCCGACCUUACUUGGCAACUGCCGAUGCUCACAUUCAAUGUAAGACUGAAAAUAUGCAGUUAUCCUUUGGCAACAUGACUAUGGAGCUAAACAUCUUCAACAUUACCGAACAACCUCACAAUGCAAAUGAUAGAAUUCUUCAUGUGGAUUUAAUAUAAGCAUUAGUUGAUAAUACUUUCCUUUCAAACCUUAGUGAUGACCCUUUACGAACAUGUUUAACUCACUUUGGUUUUGAUUUUGAUAUUGACAGAUCAGUUGAUGUAGUCAACGCUCUACUUGACUCAGCACCAUCCAUGGACACUAAUAAAUGGAAGUCAAGAGUUGAACAACUAGCACCAUCAGAGAAGAAACUCAACCCAUCAUCAGAAUCACUACCGAAACUCGAGCUCAAACCAUUACCCAACACUUUGGAAUAUGCAUUUUUAGGAGAAAAAAACAUUUUUCCAGUAAUCAUCUCAUCAUCCCUAAAUGACGAAUAAAAAGGUAAGUUGUUGGAUGUUUUAAAAGAGCACAUAUGAGCAUUAUGAUGGACCAUAGCCGACAUAAAAGGUAUAAACCCAGUAGACUGCAUGCAUUACAUUCACCUUGAUGAAAAUGCUAAACCUACUAAGGAAAUGCAACGUCGGUUGAACCCUAACAUGAAAGAAGUUGUUAGAACUGAAGUCCUUAAGCUAUUAAAUGCAGGUAUCAUUUACCCUAUUUCUGAUAGUUCAUGGGUCAGUCUUGUGCAAGUUGUCCCUAAAAAGUCAGGAGUCACAGUAGUUACCAAUGCUAAUAAUGAGUUGAUACCCACUAGAGUGACUACAGGAUGACGUGCACUACUAGAAAAAGUGGUCUUUAUUGACUUUAGAAUAGUGUCAGAAAUUACUUUCACUGACACUUGUUAAUUGUGUCAGUAAUCUAGGAGUCAGAAAAAUAGUGACACUUGUAAGUGGUGUCAGUGAUUACUAUUACUACAGUAUCACCGAUAUUAUGACACCGUAGUAUUAGUAGUUAUUGAUAUUUUAUUAGUGUCUAUGCUUACUGUUACCAUGGCAUCACUAGUUAAUUUAUUUUAAAAAAUAAAAAAUUGAAUUGGACCAUUGCCUAUUGAUUUAUUAGUAAAAUUAAAAGGCACCACAAAAUAACAAAAAGAAAUUGAUUUAUAUCACAAAAUCUUUCAUUUCACAUUUAAAUAUUAUUAGUAUAUAUUAAAAAUUCCAAAACUUCAAUAACAAAAAUAUGAGAUAUCCUACUCUCAUAACUAAAUAAUCCAAAUUCAAUACACAAAAAUUUCUACCAUCCAAUCAAAUGCCUACUACUUGUGGCUAAAUUUAAUAAAUCUAGAAGCUAAAUUGAGAAGGAUGACUGCCUUUCACUCUUUGAAUAUGAGUAGUAUAAUUGCGUUAUCACACCAGCAGCUUCUCCAUUCAAUAGACUGUAUGGGUUAGGAUAUAAGUGAAGUUGAGGAAUAAACACUUCAAACACAUUGAUCAAAUCUGCAUAUGAAUACAUGGAAAAGAAAAAAAAAAAUUAGCUGCCAAUAUCCAGCCAUUAGAGAAACAACAAUUAACAGAAAUAAAAUUAUUUUGUUCGAAAGAAAAAAAUAUUCAUAAGCUAUUUAUAAAUAAACUCAAUUAUUCUCUUUUGGUAAAUGUUAUAUAUAUAGCAAACUAUAGCAGACAAGAAGUUUUCAAUGUAAUAUCUACUUUCAGCACAAGCAUGUUACUUUAUCUACAUAUACCAAAUGAUUUUUGUGCAUAGUUAAAAGCUAUCACAAAUGCUCUAUUAUAAAUAAAUCACCACUCAUUUCCUCAAUUUAUUCAUUCUAAAAGCUUAUUUAACAAGGCAAAAAAUAAGUCCUUAAACUGCAGUUUCCUUAAACUGAGCAUAAAAUAACUUUGCAUCUCCAUAUUUAUUUAGGCAUAAUAAAGUUUGGACAUAAAAUAUUUCAAUAAUUUGAGAGUUCGAUCCAAAAUUAUUACUACUAAAAGAAAUAAUAUUUGCAAACUUAGUUAAGCCUUUAUAAAGUGAGUAUGAGAUUUAUUAUACUACUUAAAUCUAUUCAUGUGAACCAUUUAAAGAAUAUCACCCUAAAUUGUAAUUAAGUAUUCAUUAAUUUUUCCUAAUUAUAAAACUUUAAGAAAAAAAAAAGUAGAAUAAAAAUAUAAUCAUUAUAUAUUUCCACUCACAAGUAAUGUUGCUUUAACUUGGUUGACAUCAUAACCCAAAAUCACUUCAAACAUUUUUCCUAAACCUAGAAAGGGAAAAAAAACAAACUUCAAAAUAUAAUUAUUAUAUAUUAAGACAUGCAUAUAUAACAUACCUAUUUACUAGAAUAUUCAUGGAAUAAUCCAUAGUUCUUAAAAUUAAUAUGCUACACUAAGAAUAUAUUUGAUACAGUAAAUUAAUUUUCAAACUAUUACUCAUAUGCUCAUCAUCCAAAAUCAUUUCUUGGAAGCCUUCAAAGUCUUAAACUAGGAUGUCAAACUCAAACCAACACAAAACAAGAAUGUCAAACUCAAAUCAAUCGCAAACCAUAGAAAUCAAUAAUCGGGCUAAUAUUUAAGUUAAAUUAGUUCAAUUAAAAAGAAUAGCUAACAAGCUCCUAGCUUUCUGGAACCACCAAGCUGGUCCUAAAACCGUUCAUUUUUGGGCUCCAACAUUCAAAUGGGGCAUCAGCAUAGCAAACAUUGCAGACUUUUCAAACUACAAUAUAAAAAAUUGGAACCUUUUUAGUGUCAAUUUUGCAAUGGCUAGGACAGGCUUGUAUCAACUAUCACGCAAAAUCAAGCAAGAUUACUUCUCCGAGAGCACCGAGAUAGAGGCAGCUGCAAUGCAAGAAUCAUGAUGCAAAUUUCCUAAAGCCUAAACUAGUAUCAUUUUUCCUUUUUCUUUUUGCUAUUGUCAAAAACUAAAUGCAUUUCAAAAAUGUUAUCUUCAUUUACUGUUGAAUUGGUUGGUGCGAGUUGUCUAACAGCGCCAAAUUGAUUGUAAUUAAAAUUAAAAAGAAUAUGAUUACCUUAAAUAAAAAAGAAAAAAAAGAAAAGGGAAAAGACUAACCUUUAAGAAUAGUCCCAAAUAUAAUGAAAAAAGAUUUAUGCCUUUGGUACUUUCUUCUCCCGUUGCAAUUCACAGUGUUGACACAUUUUUUCCCCUGAAAAGUACUGCAAGUUAGUAGAUUUAUCACUAAUCAUAUUUAAUAGGAAACAUUGACAGCUUGAAUUUAAUAUUUUCUUUAAUUUAAUUUGGAAUGCUAUGAAACUUACAAAACAUAAUUAGACAUGUCAAUGCACCACAAAUCAAAUUUCCAAGUCAUUUGGACAACUCUACAUUUGCUUCUCACAUGAUAAAACUAUAUAAAUUAAAAUUGCAUAUGAAACUGUAAAAGUAGCAGCAGGUGUUUGAAUAUAUAUUAAAUUUAAAAUACUAAAUAUAUCAUAAUGAUACUUUCCAGAUUUGAAGCGGACAUAUAAGUCAACAACAUAUUAAAAUUUGAGGCUAUUCCGAUAUCAUUAGGCUAGUGUUUGAUAGGAUCAAAGAUUAAUGAACAGUUCUGUCAAAAUUGCAUAUGAAACUGUAAAAGUAGCAGCAGGUGUUUGAAUAUAUAUUAAAUUUAAAAUACUAAAUAUAUCAGAAUGAUACAUUCCAGAUUUUAAGUGGGCAUAUAAGUCAACAACAUAUUAAAAUUUGAGGCUAUUCUGAUAUCAUUAGGCUGGUGUUUGAUAGGAUCAAAGAUUAAUGAACAGUUCUGUCAAAAUUGCAUAUGAAACUGUAAAUAUAGCAACAGGUGUUUGAAUAUAUAUUAAAUUUAAAAUACUAAAUAUAUAAGAAUGAUACUUUCCAGAUUUUAAGUGGACAUAUAAGUCAACAACAUAUUAAAAUUUGAGGCUAUUCCGAUAUCAUUAGGCUGGUGUUUGAUAGGAUCAAAGAUCAAUGAAUAGUUCUGUCAAAAGAAGUUACUGCAGAGACAGCAGAGUUUGAAAAAUCAUUAAAAAUAAAUUACAAGUUCAAUCAAAAUAAAAUUUUCCAGAUUAUAUGUAUGCAAAUAGAAGUGUAGUUUAUCCGAAUUUCAGCUUAUUCUAACUCUGUUAGACUAUACGUUUGCAAUAUCAGACAUGGUACAUAUGUAAUUUCUAAUAAAAUUGGACAAAAACCAACCAUAUUAAGAAAUCCAUUCAAAAUCAAAUAUAAACCCAAUUCAUUCUAAAAUUUCCAAAAUUAAAAUUUUCUCAUUUAAACUUAGUUUAAUCAAACUUUCAAAUCAAUUAAAAGUCAUUUAGUCAAGUUCAGAAACAACCAAGUUCACAACAACAGUCUAUCAAUCCUCAAAUUUUCAGCAUAAUUUCGUAAACUAUUAAUUAAUCUUUCACCUCAAAAUCAAGUGCCCAGCAACUCGAAUAUCAUCAAUCCCCAUGUUUAAAGUAAAAUUAGACAUAAAAGCAAACAAUAACCUUACUUUUCACAAUAACCAGCUAACUAAUGAGCUUUGAAAGAUUGAUACGGCGGUUUCACAAUAAUUUUUGGGUUGUUAGCUAGAAAGAGGGGGGAGAGAGAGAGAGAGAGUGAUGGGCUUAUAGGUCAUGAGGGAGAAUGGAGAUUUUUACUUAAGAAAAUUUUAGGUUUGGGUUUUCAUACACACCAUUAAACGAAAUAUAUAAUACAUACUAAACCCAUGAUUGUCGAUUGCCAUUAUUCUUUUAAUUAACAAAUUGCAUUCAAUCUAAAUCUAUAAUCACCGAUUGUAAUCAUUCUUUCACUUAAUAAAUUGAAUUCCACCUAUAAUAAAGCUACGUUUUAUUUAUUUUAUUAAACAAUAAAUUAGAUUAUAAGCAACAAAAACCCUAGAUGGCUAGAUUUCCAAACAAGUGCAAGCUCUCAUUUGCACUCAAUAAACAUCAAUCAAUUAAUAGAUAAAUACUUAAACAAUGAGAAUAGAGAAUGAGACAAAGAGUUACCACAACACUGAUUCGGACUUUCAAACCUUAGCUUUGCCCAAAUUCUUCACAACACUUUCUGGGUUCUUUUCAGGGAUAUUUUAGCUUAAGGACGACGGGUUUCAAGGUAUUGAUAGAGGCGGCUUUCAAGGUAGAUCAUUGUUAGAGAGAGAAAGAGAGCGAGAGAGAGGGAAGGAGAGAGAAGGAAGAAAGCUUCGGCGGUUGUGAGAUAGAUUUUUGACUUAACAAAAAUUUUUAGGUUUUAAGUUUCACACAGACCAUACAUGAAAGAUUUCUACGUUUUAGGUUUUAAGUUUUAAUAUUUAUUUAUUUAUUAAUUUAUAAGUUCAAAAAUGCAAUUUGUGGCCGAGUGGUAUAGUGGUUAAAAUCAAAAGGUUAUGGCUUAGGGGUCUUCGUUUCGAUUAUUACUAGAUACAAAAUUAAAAUUUUAUUUUUUUAACUACUAAUACUUUAGUGUCACGAAUAUGUGAUAUUUAAUUUACUGACACAGUAGUAUUAGCAAUUUGUGAUACUUAUCUGUUAAACACGGAAAAUGCCCUAAAUACGUGUAAUUACUGAUACUUUAUAAUAAAGUGUCAGAAGACAAGUGUCACAAAAGACCAUUUUUCUAGUAGUAGUGUCUGCAUUGAUUAUAGAAAGUUGAAUUCUGUCACAUGUAAAGACCAUUUUCCUUUACCAUUUAUCGAUCAAAUGCUUGAUAGAUUACUAGGUCAUGAAUUUUAUUGUUUUCUAGAUGGCUACUCGGGAUAUAAUCAAAUUCCCAUAGCACUAAAAGAUCAAGAGAAGACCGCUUUCACUUGCCCUUUUGGUACUUUUGCAUAUAGGAGGAUGCUAUUUGGAUUAUGUAAUGCACUUACUACAUUUCAAUGAUGCAUGUUAAACAUUUUUUCUGAUAUAGUUGAACGAUUCCUUAAAGUCUUUAUAGAUGACUUUUCUGUUUUUGGUGACUCAUUUGAUCAAUGUUUACAUCAUCUAGCACUAGUUCUGCAGAGAUGUAUAGAGAAAUACUUGGUCUUAAAUUGGGAGAAGUGCCAUUUUUUGGUAAAACAAGGAUUUUUGUUCUCGGUCACAUCAUUUCGAGCAAAUGUAUUGAGGUUGAUAAAGGCAAGGUAGAUCUCAUUUUCAAUCUUCCUCUACCUAAAACAGUCAGAGAAGUAAGAUCUUUCAUUAGGCAUGCUAGUUUUUAUAGACGUUUCAUUAAAGAUUUUAGCAAAGUUUCUAGACUCUUAUGCAAUCUACUUGCUAAGGAUGUACCUUUUAUCUUUGAUGAUUCAUGUCUUGUGGCAUUUGAAAAAUUAAAGCAGUUGUUGACAUCAUUACCCAUAAUUCAGCCCCCAAACUGGAGCUUACGAUUCGACCUCAUGUGUAAUGCAUCUGAUUAUGCAGUAGGAGCAGUAUUAGGACAAAGAAUUGAUCGAAUUCCCUAUGUUAUUUACUAUGCUAGUAUGACAUUAAAUGAUGCAUAGUUGAACUAUUCAACCACUGAAAAAGAAAUGCUAGCAGUAGUGUUUGCAUUAGAGAAAUUUCGAUCUUACUCAUUGGUUGUAAAAUAAUUCUAUACACAGAUCAUGCUGCUCUUAAAUAUCUUCUCACAAAGAAAGAUGCAAAAGCUAGACUAAUUCGUUGGGUGUUACUUUUGCAGGAAUUCGACUUGGAAUUCAAGGAUAAGAAAGGCACAGAAAAUGUUGUGGCGGACCACCUCUCUCGUCUCCAUUUUGACACAAUUACAGAGCCAUUAAUAUUAAAUGAGUCAUUUCCAGAUGAACAAUUAAUGAGUGUGGAAGUAUUACCUUGGUAUGCUGAUAUAGUUAAUUAUCUUGUUACAGGUAAAUUUCCAGAGCAUUGGAACAAGCAAGACAAGGCUAAAUUCUUUGCGGAAAUAAAGAAUUUCUUUUGGGAUGACCCGUAUUUGUUCAAGUAUUGUGCAGACCAAAUUGUUAGACGAUGUGUCCCAGAAAGUGAAAUUCAAAAUAUCCUUUCAUCCUGCCAUGAACAAGCUUGUAGCGGCCAUUUCAGUGUUAAGAAAACAGCUACUAAAGUUUUACAAUGUGGUUUUUAUUGGCCAACUAUAUUUCGAGAUGCUUGCACCUUUUGCUCUUCAUGUGAUAGGUGUCAAUGAAUAGGGAGCAUUACACGAAGGAAUAUGAUGCCACUAAAUCCAAUUUUAGUGGUCAAGAUUUUUGAUGUAUGGGGUAUUGACUUCAUGGGACUCUUUCCAUUUUCUUUUGGCCAUCAAUACAUAUUGGUUGCUAUUGACUACGUAUCGAAAUGUGUAGAAGCAAUUCCAUGUAGAACCAAUGAUCAUAAGGUGGUGGUAUGAUUUUUGAAAAGCAACAUUGUUUCACGCUUUGGAUUCCCUUGAGCAAUAAUAAGUGAUGGUGGUACCCACUUUUGCAACAAAUUAUUCAAAGCUCUUUUGACAAAGUAUUCCAUCACUCACAAAGUGGCGACCCAAUAUCAUCCGCAAACCAGUGGCCAAGUUGAGAUUUCCAAUCGAGAAAUAAAGAACAUAUUAGAAAAGAUGGUAAGGCCAGACAUAAAAGAUUGGUCAUUAAGACUCGAUGAUGCAUUAUGGGCAUAUAGAACGGUUUUCAAGACCCCGAUUGGGAUGUCAACCUACAGGCUACUGUAUGGAAAAGCUUGCCACCUAGUUGUGGAACUCGAGCAUUGUGCGUACUGGGCCGUCAAGAAAUUCAACUUUGACAUGCAGCAAGCUAGCUCAAAAAGAAGAUUACAACUGGUAGAACUUAAAGAAAUUCGCAAUGAUACAUACGAAAAUGCCAAAAUUUACAAGCAGCGAAUGAAAGUCUUCCAUGACAAGCAAAUUUUGAGAAACUCUUUCACUCCAUGUCAGAAAGUGCUUUUAUUCAAUUCUCGCAUGCACCUAUUCCCAGGAAAGUUACGCUCUCGAUGGUCUGACCCCUUUAUUGUUCACACUGUUUUUCCACAUGGGGCAAUUGAAAUUAAGGACCCAAAGAACGGUGUCACUUUUAAAGUUAAUAGUCAAAUAUUAAAGCCAUAUCUAGAGUACCAACCACAUAGAGAGGACACCGAAUUAAAUUUGAGUGACCCACCUGAUUUGAAUUGAGAUUUUUUUCUUUUUAGUGAUUUGAUUUUUUUCUUUCUUUUUACUAUUCUUUUGCUAAUUGAAAUUAUUUUUGCAUAAGUGUGUUUGUUUAACUAUUAAGCUUUUUUUCCAUCAUUGUUAAUCAUGAGUACCUCAGCUAAACAAAUCUUUUUGGAUCUUCUUAGACGACUUCAACAUGUAAAAUCUCAUCUCAGAAGCUAGAUUCGAUUUUGUAAAACACGUCAUAUUUGAGAUCUACAACCACCAGAGUUAGUAUCCCAUGUUGAGGAUUUAGAAAGACAACUCAGGGACAUUGAGGGAGGUAUCUUCAACAUCCAGUUCGAGCUUGAGGUAAAUUCAAUAAGAGGAUGAUUGUAAUUUUCUUUGUGUGUUUUAGUUUGUUACUUUGUUUGUGUGCUUUAGUUUGUUACUUUGUUUGUGUGCUUUAGUUUGUUUCUCCGGUUAAGUGGCGGAUAACGGUACUCCGUGACAAUCAAGUCGGUUACUUCAGUUUCCCAUAAUAACUGAUAUUCUAAGGCAAAUGUAUGGACAGAAACGAGACUCUAGUAAAGCUUCACAAUCAAUUUCCUUCACUUCCUCAGAAUGCCCUCCUUACAAUUUAUAAAGCUUGGUUUGAACGCAUGCGAUUGCUUAUGAAUAAUAACAUACCUGCUGACAUCCGCUGGUUAAUCGAGGCCAAAAUACGAUUAGCAGGUGACUUGCCUCCAAAAUUUAUUGCAUACAUGCCUGGUUGUUGACACGACUCAAAAGUGUAUUACUCCCAAGUGUAAGAGUGUCUAGUUAUAAUAUAACCUAGUGAGUCCGAGGUCGAACCACAGGGAAUUUUAAAUCUAGUAGUCAAUCUAAAACUAAGAAAAUUAAUUGUGGGGAAAAGAAAUUAUUUGAAAUCAAUUUAAAAAUAUGCUAAGGUUCAGGAUCCACUCUCUGUAUUCAAACUAUAAUUUUAAUACUCUCUCAUUUAUAUUUUACCUCACUUUUACCAGUUAAUUGUUAUAUCAUUUAAUUCUAUGUGUGUGGAUAAAUAUGGAAUAAAGUACCUAAUGUGCCACAAUAUAUUAAUGUGUCGACAUUAUGUCAAAAUACCAUACAGAUCCAAGAAAAUCUAUAAAUUAACAUAACAUAAAAAUAACUAGAAAAUAAAAAAGUAAACUUAAAAACUCAUUUGAGAAAAUAAUAAAUUUAAUAGUUUGAAACAUUAAACUUCACCCUUCACCUCAGCUUAAUAAAAUUAGCCACUUAUAUUGAAAGAAAAUACAACACUCUUUUUAUUUGAUAAACUUUUGAAAUAUGUUACAAAGAAAAUUGAUACAGACGAAAACAAGAAAAGAAAAGAAACAAAGAAAGAAAGAAAUUCUUCAACUACACCCUUAGCUAUCAUUCUCUCUCAGAACUCGGCUCCUUCCUCUACUGGCUUCCUCAUUCGCUUGCAUCCCCUUGCCUUUUAUAGGCAAGGGAAUCAUCUUCUUUUCUUUCAUUUUAUUAAUAUUAAUAUUUUUUUUAUUUUUAUAUUAUAUAUACAUAUUGAAUUGUGUGAUGGCCAGGAGGCGUGAUGGCCUCUUAACCAUCACCAACAUGCUUGCCAAUCUUUUUUUUCUUUUUUUUUUAUUUUUUAUUUUUAAUAACAUCUCCUCGAUUGAUGAAUUCUAAAUUGCUCCAGCUGUCCUUCUUUGUUCCCGCUUUUAACUCUAAUUCUAUGUUUAUUCCUAAAAAAUAUUUACAAGAUAAAAAUUAACAUAUUGCAAAUUAAUUUAACAUAAAAUAUAUUUGGGGAGUAUUAAAAUAAUUUAGAAAUAAUGAGCGCAUUAAUCGACACAAUAAGUAAAAAACUAAUAAUUUUAUCCUUAUUAAAUGUACACUUUUUAGUGUCAAUCAGUUGUGGUAAAAGAAAGUAUGCAAGAAAACAAAGAGCUCAAAGAAUUUCUAUGGCUUGUCAUAAGUGUGCCAGAAUGAGAUGCGAUAAAAAAUCAUGUUCUUUAGGAAUGUUGUCUGAUAACAAGGAAGACAAGAUACAAUUCAUUAGGGAUGACUUGAAUAAGGAGGCAUUGGAUAAUAUCAUUUUGUCUCUUAAAACGCAUCCCAAUGGAUAGGUACAAGGAGCAAUUCUCCAGUUAUGGCCAUUAUUUUCAGAAAGAGCGUGCACGAUAUAGUCUCGGGAAUCUGACUGUAAACGACCAGGUUUGCUAGUUUAUAAGAAAACUGGAUGGGAAGCCCAUCCUCGACCCAUAGAGGGCGUUCAAGCCGUUUCUAGAUGUAAAACCAGAGGAAGAUAUGAGCCACAGUCACAACUACCUGUAAUAAUCCUUUUACUUCACUAUUGUUUUAUUUCACUAUUGUUUUAUCAUUUGCAUUAUUGUCUUAAUAAUUUUAUUUUAUUAUUUUUUUUUCCUUUUUACUGUUUCAUUUUUUACUCUCGAGCCAUGUGCUUUACACGUUAAUUGACACAAACAUGUUACCUCAUACAUAGCUGUGACCCACUAUCACCAAGAUUCUCAAAUAUGAUUUUUUGUUAAGCACUCACAAAUUAUUUUUGAGAAGUAUCCUAAUGGUAGCUACUCAUAAUAAACAAUUCAAGAACAUUUGUGUGCUCUCGGGAUUUAACCAUGGCAAACAUAAAGAGUUCAUUGAGCCAGCCAUAAAUCUUGGUCGAAGCAUAGCAGAGAGAAAAUUACACUUGGUGUAUGGAGGAGGUAACCGAGGGUUAUCAAAAUUGGUCUCACAAGCUGCUUUUGUUAGAGAAAGCCAAGUAUUAGGCAUCAUCCCAAAAGCCCUAAAACCGUUGGGCAGUUUGUCUAACUCAUCAACUGGAGAAGAGUUAGUCGUUUCAGGUAUGCAAGAAAGAAUAACUGAAAUGCUUAAUCAUGCUGAUGUUUUUAUUUUCCUACCAGGAGAUCUUGCAACUCUAGAGGCACUUAUCACAUUAGCAUCUUGGGCCCAUAUGCACAUUCACCAUAAACCCAUCGGUUUGUUAAAUGUCAGUAAUUUUUAUGAUGGCUUCAUCGCAUUUCUUAACCAUGCAAUAAAAAACUAUUUUAUUCCUUCCACAGCGAAAAACAUUUUUAUUUGUGCUCACACUGCUAAUGCACUACUUGAUCUGUAACAAGCUUAUAGACCAGAGUCAGACCCCAGGACCUUUGUGCUAGAGUGUCCAAAUAAUGAAGUGCAAAUUAGAUUUAUCUCCGCUUGUAAAUAUUUUCUUCUGUGUUGCACCACCUAGAUGAUGUCUUCUAAACUCUACUUAUUUCCUUUAAAACAUUGAGGACAAUGUUUCGUUCUGGUUGGGGGGAGGGAAUAAUUAACAAUUGUGGAAUCUUGGUUAAGGUUUUACUAAUUUUUUGUUGUAAAGACUAACCGUGACUAACGUUUUGUGUUGAAGAUGGCUGAAUAUGGAGUGUAAUGACUCUAGAAAAGGAUCUUCGUUUGAAACAAAAAAUUCCAGACAUUUUCUUUUUUAAGUUUUGACAAUUUUUUUUUCCUAACUUCUUCUUUCUAAUUUCUCCUUUAUAAAUAUACACUUUCAAAUUUUUUAGUCGAAGAUGGCUGAAUAUGGAGUGUAUUGACUCUAAAAAUGCAUUUUCUUAGUAAAAAAACACUAUUUUCUUUUUUUAUCAUUUUAAGUGUAACAUUUCUAAUUAGUUUUUCUGCAUCAUUUUCACAUUUCUAUAUGCAUAUUUUCUUUUCAUGUUUAGAAUAGGUUGGGGGGUAGAAUGUCGUUUGAACCUAAAAAAAAAAAAGUAUGAUUUUUUAACAUUGAAUGACAUGAUGACUUUCAAAUAUUAGUAAUUGUAUUAUCUUUGAUCUUAAGUGAUGUUACGCUAUAUUUGCUAUUCUACAUGUUGAUGUCAAAGACAAAUAUGAGUUGCUUGAAGGAAUGCACAUGUCAUAAUGAAUACCAAGUGAGUUUUUGAGCCUGUCAUUUUUCUUGGAGAGUAACCAUUUUUGUCCAUUCUUCAUACAAUUUAACAGUUUAUUAUUUUAGACAUGAUCUCUAGAUUUCCUUUGAGUCAAUCCUUAAAAAAAAGAGAAAAAAAUGUGUUCCUACAUCUGAAGGUCUAUCUAACUAGUAGAUAUAGAAGAUUAUUUAGAGCCCUAAAAGACGAUGGAAAGGUCAUCUUUGACUCGUUUGAGCCUUUCUAGCCAUCCCUUUUGUGAAAUAUCCAUAGUUAACCCUUUUGACCAUUUUUUUUUAAAAAAAAAAAACUUUCCUUUGUCAACUUAUCAUCUUGACCCAUUCCGAUUUGGAGUAUUACCCGAUAUCUUAUAAGUUUCAUCACCUACUUAUGUUUGAGAAAAAUGUAAAUAAUUAUCUUGUUCAGUAAAGUUGUGCCAUACAAAAAAAAAUAAAAACAAAAAAAAUUGUUUCAAAAAAAAAAGAAAAAAGAGAAAAAAAUAACAAUAAUAAUAAAUAAGCAAAACGCACCUUGUAAUUUCCAAAAGAUCUCUAUUUUUUCUCAAACAUAUGCUUUGUUUUCCUUAUUUUCUCUCCUUUGUUAGCCAUGUCCCUAACCUACGUUACAUCCUAAUAAAAGUCCUUGAUUUUAGGGAUCUAUAGUCUGAAGUAGAAACUAGUUAUAUGGGCUAAAAAGAUGUAGUGAUGUAAAAAAUAAAAAAAUAAAAAAAAUAAAAAAAUGAAUGCAUUGGGUUGACUAGUGUUGGUUAAUUUUAUAAUCAAAUACUAUUGAUGUCAAGGUGCAAGUGUAUACAACAAGUAAUAAAGUGAUGAAUAUUCAAGAUCGUCUCCAUAGGGAUUGAUGUCACUUGAAAUGCUAUAGCAAUCACAAUAGUGCAACUAAAUUCAAUCCGAAGUUAACAAAUGUAGAGUGGGUUCUAUUGUAAUUGAUGAUUGUGAGAGAAUAAAGUAAAACAGUACCAUAAUGAAUUAAACCAAAUUAAAUGUGUCUAAGAUUUAAUUGAAACUAUGGUAGUUGAAUAAUCAAACUCUCCUUAUGGGUUGACUGCUUUUCAUCAUGUUAACACCAGUUGUUACGACAAGUGCUGCAGCACCGGGCAGAAUUAAUCUGCAUCCUCAGCUAUCGCAUAUUGGAAGUCUCAUACCCUUAAAUUUAUUAACAAUGACUAGUUGUUAAUCUACUUAUGGUAUGGCAUUAUGAUCCUUUAGUCUCUCCACCCUACAAGGUAAGCACCUAUGUCUAGUGUGUCAAAAAUCUUAACUUCAAGUAUAGCCCUUAUGGGAUUCAAGAUAACUUAAUCCAGGAAACUUAAAUUAAGACCAAGUAAUACUCUAAUAAUAUCCGCUAAGACAUACCCUUUUACGACUCUAUCUUAACUUGAACUAUUAAAUAAGUGGUCAACCGAAAUAACAGUUAUAUUAAUAAUAGCUAUUAGAGUAAAAUGCUACAGCAAUGACAUAACAACACAUAAGAACAGUCAAGAACCCAUUGGAUUGUUUGUCACUCAACUACAAGCAGAUCUAGUUCAUAUUCUGAAUAAGAAAAGAAAACAUAAAUAUGUUGUUCACGGGAUACAUCAGAACAAUCAAAGGAAUAAGAUAAAUAUAAGUUGAGCAUGGUGAAAGACAAAUCCAAGUAAUUCUGCAAGAUUCCUCAAUGUUGCUAAAACAACACUCUUCAAUUUUGAUCUUCUUCUCCUCUCCUCUCUAAUUAUUCUAAUGAUAAUUCACUUGCCGCCUUUCUAUGUUGUGCAUGCCUCCAUUUUAUACUGCAAACUAGGGUAAACCAAAGUCCAUGGGCGUGCAUGAGUUAAAUUAGGAAACAUGCAAAUCGCGAUUCUGCAGCUGAUCCGCGCCUAAGUUUUCUCCUGCAUUGCUCCCAUAUUGCUUCAGCACUAAUUGCUCUAACAUCCGCUACAACACUGUAUUAUUCUCGAUUGUGCUUUACUUCUUUUGCGGCCAUCUUCUCUCCUCCUCUUGCUCAUCUAAUGUCUCACCAUCCCCUCAUGAAUUAAGACUUUCUGAAAACCUACAAUUAUGCACCUAUUUUUAGCACCAAUUACUUUGAUUCAAACAAAACUUAUUAAGACUCAUUUUGCGGCCAUCUUCUCUCCUCCUCUUGCUCAUCUAAUGUCUCACCAUCCCCUCAUGAAUUAAGACUUUCUGAAAACCUACAAUUAUGCACCUAUUUUUAGCACCAAUUACUUUGAUUCAAACAAAACUUAUUAAGACUCAACUAAAAUGAAUGUUUAUGUAAAAUAUAACCAAAAUGUAAUAAAAGCACCUUAUUUGUUCUCUAAGUGAUCUUGAUUUAAGUAUAGAAUUGAUGUAAUAACUCUCAUUUCCUAGAGUUAUCAACUAGUAUUUUGUUUGACUUAAGAUCGUGUUAUGUUUUAACUGUGGGCAUAUUCCUUUCAUCUUAAUGAAAGUGUGUGAUAUCACUUCUUUAUUAUUUUCUCUCAAUUUACCAUUAAUUGGAGUGACUAUUUUUAUUGGGUUUAAUUUCUUUGUGAGAGUGUCACUACUUCCAGUGAGAUUUUGGGGUUUGACAUGUCAUUCUUAAAAGUAGUUGUAACAAAGUCUACUAGGUUGAUUCAUACGGAUGGUUAAUGUGGGAGUGAUAUUUCUUUAAACUGGAGAUAAUGAUUAUACUUUUAUUUGAUUGCUAUCAUUAGUCUAAUUGAAUAAACACGAGUGUUUAAAAAAAAAAAUCAUUUUGGGUUUAAAUUUUGUUUUCACUUUAUUUGCUAGGGACUAGCAAUAAGCUAGUUGGGGGUGUGUUGAGUACUAGAAAGUGUAUAUUUAUAAAGGAGAAAAUCAUCAUUUUACAUUUCAAGUCUUACUAACACCCUUACUUUUAUGUAUUUAAGUCUCUUGUGAUUUAAUUAUGUGUGUUUUAUUUUAAUUAAGUAUUUUAUGUAUUUUAGGGGUAUCAUGGUCAUUUCACAAUGAACGAGAGAUCAGAAAAUAAAAUGGACAUCACUUUUGAACUUAGAAGAGUCGAAAACCUUAGGAGGAGCAUAAAAGGAAAAAUGUCAUUGUUCACAUGUACGGUACUGUCUAUGUUACUGUUCAUGACACUGUUCACAUAUUCGGAACGACGAUGUGGCAUUGACCGAUGAGGUGUCACGAUACUAUUGGACUAAAAUUCUUAUGUACUGUUGAUCAGUGAUGUGGCAGCAUGUUAGUGGACCAAAAAUCGUGCGUACGGUACAUGCAUAUACACAGAAUUAUUCACAACCAAACCGUGUCACUAUUCAAGCCGCCUCACUGUUCAUACCGCGUCACUAUUCAAACCGCGUACUGUUGACCGAUGACGUGGCGCAAUCCUGAGCGUCCAAAUUGUUUUUAAUCUGAUGGCCACGAUUUACUCAAUGUAUCUAUAAAAAGGGGACUCCCCCCUAAUUUGAGAUCCCUGAAUUCAUUUUUGAGUUUCACUUUCUGUAAUUCCUUCUCCAUCUUGUAUUUUCUACGUAUUUUAAUAAAUUUUCAUUUUACCCCUAGUUCAAUUAUGAGUAACUAAUUUUCUUUCAAGCUUGGGUUGAAAGUGAAGUCUCAACAUGUGUCAUGAGUUUUAUUUGGUAAAUUUACUUUCUCUUCCUCUCUAAUUAUUGUGGAUGUUUUGACUUUUCGUCGAUAAAUAGUAAUAAUCUUGUCUAGAUACCGCACUGAUUUAACCAGCUCCCUAGCACAAGGUUAUUAUUAUUUGGCAUGAUAAACCCUUAGCACCAUAUUGAUUAAAGUGUGAUUCAUGAGGAGUGGAAACCCCCCUCAUGAUUUAAUUGGCAUUAAUAAAGAAUAUUUAGUCCAUGGUGCAUGUUGUUGCAGAUCUGGAUACCCAAAUGCUUUAUUUCAAUAGAUUUCGCUUUAAUUUAUUCCCGCCAUUCUAAUUUAAAUUUUAAGAUAUUCCAAAUCAUUUUCACCACAAAUCCAACCACCCUCAUGAAAAUUAACUCUACACAAAAUUAAAAUUCACCUCCUCGUGGGAUCGACACUCAUCAUCAUUAAUGUAUUCUACAAUAGAUUCGUGCACUUACGAGUUCAAUAAAAUUUGUACAACAGCUAUCAUCCUCAUCUCUCAUUUGUAGUUGAUCUUCUACAAAGAUAACAUCUCUGCUGAUGAUAAUCUUGUGGGCAGUAGGGUCCCACAGACAAUACCCCUUUACUCCAUCAGCAUACCCCAAGAAGAUACACCUCUUAGAUUUUAGAUCUAACUUUGUUCUUUCUUGGGCAUUAUACAUCACGUACAUAGGACAUCCAAAUGCAUGUAGGUAGGAGUAAUUAGCUGGCUUUCUAGUCCACAUCUCCAUCGCUGUCUUCAGCCCAAUUUUUGUGGAUGGCAACCGAUUUACUAUAUAACAGGCAGUUUUGGUUGCUUCUACCCAGAAUAAAUUAGGUAGACCCGCAGUUCUCAACAUAGCUCUGUAAGAGUCUUGUUUAUCCGCUCUGCCACUCCAUUUUGUUGAGGAAUGUAUGCUACCGUGAACUACCUCUGAAUACUUUCUUGCUUACAGAAAGUAUAAAACUCGUCGUCUGUAUACUCGCCACCAUUAUUUGUCCUCAAGCACUUAAUCCUUUUGUCGGAUUCAAGUUCCACCUGCGCUUUGUAUUCUUUAAACAAUGGAAAUACAUCUGACUUUUUCUUAAUUAGAUACACCCAACAUCUCCUGGAAUAAUCAUUAAUGAAAUUCACCAUACACUUUGCACCUCUUAUGGAUAUGUCUGGUGAUUCACAAACAUCAGAGUGAACUAAGUAUAGAAUGCAUUUACUUCUAGCAAUAGAUCUACUGAAAUUUAAUCUAUGUUGCUUACUUAUAACACAAUGCUCGUAAAAUGGUAAGCUUACCGAUUUGAGCCCUGAAAGCAAUUUUCGCUCAGAGAGAAUCUUUAAACCUUAUUUCGACAUAUGGUCAAGUUUGAGAUGCCACAUCAUCAUUGACUCUUCUCCAUAUGAUGCAACACACGCAUUAGCUUCCUACAAUGUUUCCCCUUUAGGUAUAAAUAUAUUAGUACCGAUCUUUUCUACCUUCAUCAAUACAAGCGCGCCUUUAACAAUCUUCAUAAUUUCAUUCUCCACAUGAGUUUUGUACCCAUGACUAUCCAUUUUUCCUAAAGAUAAUAGAUUAUUCCUCAAGCUUUUGACAUGUCGUACCUCCCUAAUUGUGCGAAUACCAUCAAACAUUUUUAUUUUGAUAGUACCAAUGCCAACGAUCUCCAAGGCAUGAUAAUCUCCCAUAUAUACAGAUCCUCCUAAGAUAGGUUCAUAUGUGUGGAACCAUUCUCUCUUAGAGGUCAUAUGUCAGGUAGCUCCUGAGUCUAUAAGUCAGACGUCAAAUAGUCGUUUUCUGCCUUCUGAAACAAUUGUUGCCUUACUAUAGAGAAUUUCACCAUCAUCCGAGGUACUUGCUACACACCCCUGAGCAUUUGAUGAAUCAGGUUCUUUACCCUCUUUUAUCUUCUGGUUACUCCAACACUCUUUCUUGACGUGCCCUUUCUUGCCACAAUUGUACCAUUUGACACUCUUCUUACUUCUUGAUUUUGACCUACCAUGAUUGUGACUCCUACUGGAGCCAAGUUCUGUUGAUCUCUCUCUUGUUUCCGCCUACUUUCUUCAUUUAAUACGGAAUUGGCAACAUCGUCGAAAACUAGAUUGUCCGCUGGAUUGUUGUUUGUAAGGUUGAUAAUGACUUGAUCAUACGAAUCUGGUAGACUUUGAAGUAGAAGCUCUGCACGUACAUUUUCCUCUAUAUUAUGACCCAACAUUGUGAGUUGUGAAAAUAGAGUCUUUAAGGUGUUGAUGUGGUCAGUCACUAAUGUAGAUUCCGCCAUUCGAAGAGUAUAAAGUCUCAUUUUUAAGAAGAUCUUGUUGUGUAGCGACUUGGCCUCGUACAAUUUUGUGGGAGUAUCCAAUAUUUCCUUUACUGUCUUUUUCUCUACCACACUAGAUAAUACUCCAUCCGCAAGUGCUAAGUGUAGAUCCGAAAUGGCGAUGCCAUUUAUCUUGUUCCACUUGUCAUUAGUUAUCUCCAUGGGCAUUUCUCCAAUUGUUGUCAAUCAAUUAUUUUUCCUCAAUACAACUUUUAUCUUUAUUUUCCACAACGAAAAAUUAUUUCCGUUGAACUUCUCAAUUUCGUAUUUUGCUGCCAUUGCUUUUCACCAAAAACUAACUUUGCUAGGAUCAGCUCCCACCGUUUCACGUGAACAGUAAUUGUAUACAUGAACAGAGCCAUAUACGUGAAUAGUAUCGUAUACGUGGACAAUAUUAUGCACAUGAAUAGUACUUUUACGUAAACAAUAGCCCGACUCCAAAAAAUAUAACCUAGCUUUGAUAUCACUGUUAGGAAAUUGAUGGGUGAAGGAAAACCACAGCUAAAAUGAAAUUGGAAGAAAAUUAAGAACAAGUACAAAAGAGGACACUAGAAAAUUACGUGGUUCGUCCAUGGGCGAAUAUAGAAGGAAAAUAUUUCACUAGUGAUAUGAAGAUUACAAGUAUUGUAAUAUUUUGGCUCACUUCCCAAAACCUCAAUACACCCAAUCUCUCACUCACUAAUUACACAAGAGUAUUAAGACUCUUAAUUUUUCCUCUCUAACAAAAGAUUAAAAACUGAAGAAUGGGAUGCCGAGAGGGGAAUUGAAGCCUUCUAUUUAUAGGCUUCAUUUCCCUUCCUUUUUUUCAAUAAAAUAAUACUAUUAAUAUUUUAUUAUUUUUCCUUUCAAAUCUUUCGGCUUCUUCUUUCUUCUUUUGUUCUUUUUUCUCCUUUUUCUUCUUCAAGCAUUUCAGCACCACCAAAAAUGGCGGGCCGUGUUGAAAAUGUUGAUGGUUUGGCACCGCCCAUCUAGAAAAGUGGUGCCAACCAUGUUUUUGACAGGAUUUAAAUUUGAGAAUUCGCGUAGCAUAUUUUUUCAUUAUUAGGAGUUACUUUGAUCAAGGUUAUUUAAGCGCUAAACUGUUAUAAUUAAGCUUGCAUGUAUUUGAGUUCUUUGUAUGUAAUUGACAAUUAUAUCAAUGUGUAAUGUAAAUUGAAAUUUUGCAAAUGCGGCUUCAAUUGUACAGUUUAGAAUGUGAAAACAACUAUGUAAAUUUUAAUCUAAAAAAAACAAUUGAAGCAUGGUAAUUUUAAAUAAUAAUGGUCAUCAAAGACCUAUAUAAGAUGAUUGUUUUAUAUAAAACCGUCAUUAAAAUUUGACAUUUAAUGACGGUUUUGAAGAAAACUGUCAUUGAAAAUAUAUGCUAAAGUGGUAUUGAUGACCGUUAUUUAAAGAACCUUCAUUGAAUGGUAUUUUUUAAUGACGAUUUUUAAGAAAAAAAACCCGUCAUUAAAACUCUAGAAUAUAUCUCAAAUAAUGAUUGUUUAAUAAAAUAACCGUCACUAUAUGUAUACAUUUAAUGACAGUUUUUGAACUGUCAUAAACGGUGUACCCUUUUUAAUGUCGCUGCCUAAAACCGUCAUCUUAUGUCUUUUAAAACCGUCAUUAAAGACUAAUUUUGUAGUAGUGAAUUUUGUACAAUAGAGUUUUCUACAAAAUGAGAAACAUAACUGUCGAAUUUGAUUGUGGCUAUAUUCGUGCUCUGUAUGAACCAAAAUGCAGAAUGAUUUAUUUAUUUAUUUAAAAAGAAAAGACUUGGAUAACUCUAAGUUGGCAUCAAUCCCAAAAACUUCUAAAAUGUGUGGAAAGACAUGAUACUUUUAAUAAAAUAUAUUUUAAAUAAUUUAUAUUAGGCAAUUCCUCAGUUAUGUUUACAUUACUUAUAGUGUAGAGAAUCCGAGAGCAUCUAAUGUGUUUUAAUUUGAAUCCAUGUCAUGAAACUUAUCAAAAAGUAGUAACAAGUAGUCAACCACCUGAACUGGUUAUUUUUAAGAGUGAUAGGCUACUUGAUCAAACGAUUUUAAAGAGGAUUUGCAAAGGGAAAAAUAUUAAAAAUGAAGAGGGAAUAAUAAAAUUGGAAAUUGAAGAGGGGAUCGUGCAUGGAUUUUUUGCGAAAGGAAAAAAUGAGACCAUAGAUUGCCUAAAUGUUUUUUUCAUCUUGGCUGUUUGACUGCUUAACAACCAUCGAUAGUAACCGAGUACUUCUUCUUCUGUCUGCGGCUUCUUGGCUUGGCUAUCAAAUGUAGAAGCCGGUGCCGCAAAGGAAGAAGCCGCAAAUGUUAAAUUUGACAAAUAAUGAUCAGUGCCAAAAAGUUUGAAGGAAAAUGGCAGUUUAUGGCUUCGACAUUGAAGAAGCCACGAGAAGGACAAAAAAAAAGAAGAAAUUAAAAUAAUAGAUGAUUUUGGCUAUAAAAGGGGAGUUCCCCAUAAAUUGUAAAUUAAUGGCCAUUUUGUAAAAAAAAAAAAUUCAUUUUUUUUCUUCAAAUCGUUUCUUCUAUCAAGAGCGAGAAGCUGAGAGUUUUGAGAGCUCAAAUCGUAAACUCUUGAGAGUUUAGUGAUUGAGCGAUUGGGUGUAUUGGGUUCUAGAAAGUAAGGGUAAAAUCUUACAAUACUUAUAAUCUUCUUUGCACUAGUGAAGUUUUAUCCUUCUGUCUUCGCCUAUAGAUAUAGGUUAAAAGCUUAAUCAUGUAAUUUCUAGCGUCCUCUUUGUAUGCUUAUUCUUUAUUUUUCUCUAAUUUCAUUUUAUUGUGGCUCUGCUUCACCAUUAAUUUCCUAAUAGUGGUAUUAGAGCCAAGUUGGUUGUCACAGUACUAUUCACAUAUAUAGUAUUGUUCACAUAUAUGGUUAGUAUUCACGUGAAACGAUGGGAGCCAAUCUUAGCAAAUGUAGUUCGUGGUGAAAAAACAAUGGUGGCAAAAUACGAAAUUGAGAAGUUCAACGAAAAUAAUUCGUCGUUGUAGAAAAUAAAGAUGAAGGCUAUUUUGAGGAAACAAAAAUUGCAUGGUAACAAUAAGAGAAAAGUCCAUGGAGAUAACUGAUGAUGCCAAGUGGAACGAGGUAGACAGUAAUGCAACUACGGAUCUACAUUUAGCACUGGCUAAUGAAGUGUUUUCUAGUGUGGAGAGAAAAAGAGAGCAAAGAAAAUAUGGGAUACUCUUACAAAAUUGUACGAGGACAAGUCUUUACAAAACAAGAUUUUCUUAAAAAGGAAUCUUUACACUUUUCAAAUUCAUACGAUCAACUCAUCAUUAAUCUAACAAACAAUAACCAAAUAGAUAGUCUAGUCUUGGGCAAUGUUGUAACCUCUAUAUUAAAUGAAGAAAGCAAACAAAAAAAACAAGGAAUGUAGGUAGGCAAGUUCGCAGCAAGCAAAAGCAUUAUCGAUGACUAGAAAUAGAUCAACAAAAUGUGGCCCCAGUGGAGGUCGUAAUCAUAGUAGAUCAAAAUCAAGAAGUAACAAGAAUGUUAAAUGCUACAAUUACGGCAAGAAAGGGCAUGUCAAGAAAGAGUGUUGGAAAAAUAAGCAAAGUAGAGACAAUAAAGUUAAGUCAUCAAAUGCUCAUGAUUGUACGGUAAGUACUUUUGAUGAUGGAAAAUUUCUCUACAGCGAGACAGUAAUUCUUGCAGAAGACAGGAAGCAUUUGGCUGACAUUUGGCUUAUAGACUUAGGAGCAACAUGGCACAUGGCCUCUUAAAGAGAAUGGUUCCACAAACAUGGACCUUUUUAAGAGAAUAUAUGUACAUGGGUGACUCGAAAAUCUCUGGUAUUAGUGCUGUCAAAAGAAAAAUGUUUGAUAGUACAGUUCGCACAAUUAAGGAGAUACGACAUGUCAAAGACAUAAAAAAGAAUUUAUGGUCUUUAGGACGAAUUGAGUGUCUUGGACGCAAAGCUCAUAUGAAAAAUGGGAUCAUGAAGAUUGUUAAAGGCGCAUUUGUAUUGAUGAAGGUGGAAAAGAUCGGUGCUAAUUUUAUUCAUGCUUAAAGAGGAAACACUACAAGAAGCUGAUGUGUCACGUCAAAUGAAGAAGAAUCGACAAUAAUGUGGCAUCUCAAACUUAGCCACAUGUCGAAAUAAGGUUUAAUGAUUAUCUCUGAGCAAAAGUUGCUUCCGAGGUUUAAAUAGGAAAACUCAUCGUUUUGUGACCAUUGUAUUACAAGCAGCAUAGAUUCAAGUUUAACAGAUCUAGCGGCAAAAGUGGAAGCAUUUUUAACUUAAUUCAUUCUGAUAUUUGGGAAUUGCCAUAUAUAUUCCUGAGAGGUGAAAAGUACUUGAUAACUUUCAUUGAUGAUUAUUCCAAGAGAUACUACGCGUAUCCAAUUAAGAAAAAGUCAUUCAUGACAAAAUAAAUGAUCGAGAAAUAUAAUUAUAGGUGACAAAAAUAUUUUGUAACUAAAACACAGGUGUAAAUUUAGGCAAACCAUCAAUAACACAUAAUAUUAGUCUCUAAAGCUAUUUUGAUUUAUUAUAAUUUUAAGAUCUUGUUUUUUAGUCGUAGAUGAGUUAUUAUGGUGACAAAACUAAAAAUAGUAACUAAAAGUUUUGUCUUAGACAACUUUGUAUUUUUUAUGACCAAGUAAUUUAUUUCCUAAGGCAUUGACAAAAUUAAAAAAAAUAUUAGUUGAAUGUUUUAUUUUCACUAAUUUUAACCAACAUAUUUUGUUAUUACUAUUUUAUCUAGAUAAAAUUUUAACUCCUGUGACUAGACUUUUCCAGAUUUUUGCUUUUCAACAAUUUAUAAAAUGAUCGGCUAGAAUUGAACACAAUUUCUAAAUGAGUAAUGGUAGAAUCACAAACACUUUGUUAGAAUUUAUAUAUGUAACUUGAUCACAUCAAUUUGCAUAUAAAGGGAUUGACUGACUUUUCAAAUAAUUCUCUCAUCCACAAUCCUUUGUAUAGACAAAUUUGUCUAACUUGUUUGUCAUCAAUUAUUAUUUUCACAAAUUGGCCAAUUACAAGCCUUUUAAUUUUAUUUUAUUUAAAAAUAUUUAGCCAUCUCAAAAUUUGGGUAGCUUAUAAUUAAUUUCCAUUACUACUUUGUCAUAUGUGCGGGGCACUCUUUUUUUUUUUUUAAUUGUAUGCGACAUACUAACUUUAGUUUAUACAUAAUUACCUAUAAUAAAAUGUAAUUAAAAGGUUGGACAAAAUUAUUUUUUAAGUAUGUAUAAACAAUUAAUUGGUCUCGCCAAAUAAUAAUAAUCGGUAUUCAACCAAAGGUAAGACAAAACAAUUCCUCUUCCUUGGGUCAAGCAAGACAAAACAAUUCCUAAAUAGUUAAUUUUCAUAAUUUCAGUUAAUUUUUAUGUAUUAAUCUAAACAAAUGAGAUUUUUUUCUUUUCGAUGUGGUAUAUUUUAAAACUCUAAAUGCAUUAUUCUAACUUUAUUUAAACAAUUAAUUUAUUUAAAUCUUAUUCAAUUUUGAAUUUGAUCGAUAGUAAAAUUAUUUUUAUAUUAAAAUUUUUUAUUUAAUUAGUUUGUGGAUUUGACAGAAUUAUAAAAUUUUAAACUAAUUUGUAAAAUGGUGGAUUAGAUAAGUAUUGGAUCAAAUCCGCAUGUGAUUUGCAGACACAUGAAUUGGACUUAAAUGAAUUUCACCAAUUUAUGGAUUUGAUUAGAUUGACAAUUUAAAAUCCGUAAAAUUAUUAAUCGAAUAUAAAUUAAUGUCUAAUCUGUAAAAUUCGAUCUACAAACACUCAAAAAAAGCCUUUAAAAAAAGUGUUAUAAACGCUUCAAAACUAUUGAUCUGUCAUAUUUAUUUCUCUUUUCCUCAGCAUGAACUUCGUCCAGAUUGGACCGUUAGGAUUUCAUUUAGGUCCAAUGUGUAGAGCCAAGAUUUGGGCCCUGUUUUUCACCCACUCUAGAUUCGACUAGGCUUGAGCUUGCAAAAACAAAAAAAAAAAUGGUUGACUCACAUUUUUAAAAAUAAUUUUUAUUUUUUUAAAUUAAAUUUAAUUUUUUUUAAACACGAAAAGUUAAUUUGUUUUUAUUUUUUUGCUUUCACCACAAGAAGCCUAAUCAACUUUGUAUACUAAAUAGAAAAAAAAAAAAAAUUGCAUCUCUAAAUUUAUUGGAAAGAAGAGUACUGAGAAAAUUUAAAACGGUAAAUCAAAAUAAUAAAGUUCUUGCUCUACAUAUACUAUAUGGCAUGAAUUCUGAAUACUUGCGAUAGUAAUGCAUACUAAAUUUUGUGUAAAAUGAUAUUAGCACCAUGCUGUGGAUAUACAGUUACCCCACGAGUAGGAGCAUGUGUAUAAGUUGGUGAAAGCUGGAAAGUGAACUUCUGCAAAAUCAUUGCUAAAGCUAAUUUCGAUUCCAACAGAGCAAAGUUUUGUCCAAGGCAGAUUCGAGGACCCCAACCAAAUGAGAAGAAUGAAAUUUGAUUCUUCGAUGCCUUUGAGACUCCUUCUGAAAACCUAUCUGGGUUGAACUUUUUUGCAUCAUCGCCCCAGUAUUCAUGAUCAUGAUGAACAAGCAUUAUUGGCAAUGAAAGUAAAACUCCAGGUGGUAUAACAAUUUCUCCUAGCUUAAUCUCCUUAACAUUAGCUCGAGUAAGCAGAGGUGCUGGUGAAUAUAACCUCAGUACCUCGUACAGAAUUUGGCUUACCUGC